UUUUUUUUUUGUGGUAAAAUUUAAGGAUGAAUUCUACCUAUUUUAUAAAUUUGAAACAAACUAAAUGGUUAAAUCAAGAGUUAUGAAUUUCUAAAGUUCGGAAAGAGAAAACCCUUUGUGGAAAAAAUAUGUUUUGAAGGGAUUUUAUUAUAUUUUGAGUUUUAUGCAAAAUAAAGGAGUUUUGGAAGUUAAGACAAGAAUCAUAUAAAGGUUUAAGCUACACUCUCUAUAGCUAGAUACCCAGUUUAUUCUCAAAUAGUAAAUCUUACCAUACGACAAUGUUUGUUUAACCCUUUAUAUAAGAUCAUUUAUUUGAGGAUGAUAGGGAGUAGUUUUUCUAUGAUUGAUGGUAAACAAUGUAUUCAUUUCUUUAAUAGCUUCAUUUAAAAAAUGAGUACCAUUGUCACUCACAAGGAUUUUUGGACAACCAAAAAGAGCUAUGAUAUUUUUAUAUAGGAAUAUGGCAGUUUGUUUAGCACCCGUUUUCUUCAUAGCUUUUGCUUCUGUCCAUUUGAUCAAAUAUUAUAUAGCUAAAAUGAUAUAUUACAUCUAACAUAAAGAUGCAGGAUAAACAAUAUAAUCCAAUAUAAUCUAUGCUCCAUUUUUCAAAUGGAACAAGUGGAAGUGAAGGAUUUAAAGGCAUUGCAAGAUUUAAAUCAUUGCAUGCAUAUUUUUGGCAAGCAUUAUAAGAUCUUACAUAAGACUCUGAAUUGAUAAACAUUGUAGGCCAAAAUUAGCCUAUUCUAAGGAUUUUUUGAGUUGUUAAUCGAUCAGAGAAGUAUCCACGACAAGCACUUGAAUGAUAAGCUUCUAUUACAAGUCGUACUUCUUCAUAAGUAAGACAACAUCUUAAAAUUCCAUUAAUUCCUCGAUAAUAUAAUUUCUUAGCUGUAAGAGCAAAAUAGGUACUAUUUAUUUUAAUCUUUUAUUUUUCAUUUUUGGAUAGAACAUUGGAUAAUUGUUGAAUACUCAAAAAUUCAGCAAUAUAUUCAUACCAUAUAGAAACCACCAUAAUAUGGAACAAAUGAGCAUCAAGAAGUUCAUCAUUUAUAUCUUGAAUACCAAUGGUUGUAGAUAAUCAUGAAAGGUGAUUGCUUGUUUGUAUUAUUUUUUCGGUUUGUAUUGCAUUGUAUAAUCAAAUUUUGCUAGAAGUAAUAUCCACCUUGCUAAUCUGCCACUUAAAUCUGGUUUGUUCACAAUAUAUCUGAAGGCCAUGUGAUCUACAAAAAAAAUAAUCCUGUUCAUCAAAAGGUAAUGGCGGAAAUUUUUGACACUAAAGACCAUAGCCAAACAUUCCCGUUUUAUAGUUGUAUAGUUACGUUCAGCAUUUGUUAAUUGUUUACUAGCAAAAGUAAUAGGAUGAAUCACACCCUUAUCAUCUGGUUGGCAUAAUGCACUACCUAUUGCCAAUUCAAAGGCAUCAUAAUAGACAUAGAAAGAUUGAUCCCAGUUUGGAGGUAGUAGAUAAGGAUAUGAGAGCAAUUUGGCUUUAAUUGCAUCAAAACUGGUUUAGCAUUCAGAAGUCCAUUCAAAUUUGGUAGUCUUCUUCAACAAAUCAGUCAAUGGAGACACAUGAGUAGAAUAUGAUUCAAUCAAAUCAAGAUACCAACCCAUAUGUCCUAAAAUCUUUUGAAUGUCUUUUAUUCCAUUUGGAGGUGGUAGGUUUACAAUAACCUCUACCUUUUUUGGAUGAAGUUUUUUUUCCUUCUUAAAAAUGACAUAACCUAAUAAAACUCUUCUUUUAACUGCCAAAUAAACCAUGUCCGGGUUGAAAGAAAUUCCUACUCUUUUACGACGUUGAAAACAUAAUUGAAGGCUUAUAAAGUGAUCAUUUUCUGAAGAUUGACAACUAAAGUCGUCAAUAAAAACUGACAUAGUUUUUUGAAGAAGGUUUGAGAAUGCAUUGGUUAUAACUCUCUGAAAAGCUGAAGGAGCAUUGCAUAAGCUGAAAGGCAUUACUAUACAUAUAAAGGUUCUCCGAGGUGAUGUAAAUACAGUCUUGUGCCAAUCUUCAGGAACUAUUGAUACUUGAUUGUAACCAGAGUAGCCAUCUAUAAAAGUAUAGAUGUCAUGACUUGCCACAUCAUCUACUGUAGAAGUGAUAAAAGAUAAUGAAAAAUGGUCUUUUUGAGUGUACUUAUUUAGAUACCAAUAAUCCACAUACACCCUGAGUUUAUUUCUUCCAUUUUUCUUCACCAAAACAAUAUGAAAAAAUCAAUCUAUAAUUUCUAUAAGCUUUAUAAAUCCCACUUGAAGUAGCCUUUCUAAUUCUGUUUUCACAAUGAGUUACAUUUUAGGAUUGAAUCUUCUAUGUUUUUAUCUAACAGAUGUUGUAUUUGGAAGAAGUGAAAUAGUAUGAUGACAAAUUCUAGGAGGAAUACCUUUUAAAUCUUUAUAAGACUACACAAAUAUAUCUCAAUAUUCCAUUACUAAGGAUUUAUAUUUCUCAAGUUCUCCUUCACCUAAUUGGGAUCCAAACUUGACAAAUUCGAGUUCUUCUUCAUCAUGAUUUACUAGAACUUUGAUCCAAUCUUGUUCUACCAGAUGUAUGGAGUCAAUGGAUCCAUGGUACCAAUCUUUAGAUAUUGGUGGAUAAGUCGGUAUAUCAUGUCCAACUUCAAUGCCUUAUAAAGUACAUUUAAAUUGUAAUAGAAAAGGCAUGAUGGUUCCUUCCUUCAUAAUAGUAUCCAAAUCAUCUACUUGAGUUCCGUUGAUUUUCAAACUAAAAGCUUCAUUUAUAUAAAUAUCAUCAAUUAAGGUUGCAAGAUCUAGACAAUCAUCUUCAAGUUCCAACCAAUCAAUUACUUCUAUAAAUUGAAUGUAGAUAUCUUCUUCUUCAUAUAGAUUCUCUUCUAACCAUUUAGUAAAAUCACCUUCAUCUUCAUAUUCAUACAAUCCAAGACCAAUACAUUUUAUUGGUGCAAUUGUUCAAGUUGAAUUUGAUUGGAUAAAACUAUUUUGUUUAGCAUCUAUAGAUGUUGGUGUUUUUUCUAAUGGAGCCAAAGUUUGGAGUCUAAAGUGACUAGAUACUAUGAUUUUUGUACGAUUUUCUAAUGGUUGAAAAGUAAAAUAAGGCUUAGAAGCCCCCAAUUUGUUACUCUUUUAGAUUACCUCAAUCAUCUUCUUCUUAAUAAUAGAAGGUAGCUAUCCACUUCUUUAUAUAGGCAUAUGACAUAAAAUGAUACCAUAUAAUCUAUACCUCCUACUUGCAUAUGAAGGUCUCGAAUUUGACUUAAAGGUUGAGAAGGUCUUUGAUCAGCUAGUCUUACCUUUAUAAUUGCCUUAUGAGUGAUUUUUAAUCCUAAUUUGAUCAUGGUGGAUUCGGGCAUAAUAUUGAUGCUACUUCUAUCAUCUACUAUGACCUUAAGAAUUACUUUAUCUACUAUUUCUACAUCUAUCUUAAUAGGUCCAUACUCUCUAUUGUGUUUUUCUUCUUCCAAGAUAAUAUCUCCUUCUAAAUCUCCAACUUCAAUUUUAGCUAUUUCUUUCAUAUUUUUGGUUUGUCUUUAUGUAAUUAUACUUUCUUUGAGGUUUUUUUUUUAUGGUUGAUGCUACUUGAACCAAUUGACCAAAAGAAAUGUUGGCUCUAGUCCUACAAAGGUCUUGCCAUAAAUCAUAUGGUUCUGCAGGAUUGAAGGCUCUAAUAAUUGUUGGAUGUUUUAACAAGGUAUUAGAAGUUGAAGGCCCUUGUUUGUCCACAAAUUGAUAUUCUUCUUCAUUAGAUUUAAUCAAAGAUGAUUGGUUGUAUUUUAAUUAUUUAGCUACCUCUUCAGUAGUUUUUGUCAAUUCUAGAAACUUAAGUAAUUCUUCUGAAGUAUCCAAAGAUAUUUCAUCGUCUUCAAGAGUUACUAAAUCUAUUGGUUUUUUGGCACUCAUACUUCUACUUAUAACUAGAGAAGAUAAAUAUACAUUGUUCUUGAAGAUCUCUUUGUUGUUUAGUUGAAUCAAGUUGGAUCAAGGAGAUGGUAAGGUUGAUGUAGUAGGUACAUCAAAUUGAGCCACUGUAUAUCUAACAUCUUGACAAGAAUGUGGUUUUUGGUUUUGGGUUUGGUUUUGGAUAUAGGCUAAAAAUCCUUGUAAUGUUCUAUGAUUGAUUUUAACUAUUAUUGGAGGAUUAUGAUUUUGACCAUUGUUUGAAGGGUCAUAAUACAUGUUUGAUGGAUUUUUUGUAACAAUAGGAUCUACAAAUCUAACUCCUUGUAUAAUUCCUCUGAUUUGGUUAUUAUAAUUCCUUGAAGAAGAAGUUGAGGAAUUAACUUGGUUGGAUCUUCUACAACGAUCCAUAGGAUAAAAACCUCCACAAUUUGAGCAUAUAAUUUCAUUCUCAAUCCAACAUUGACCUAUUUGAUGUGGUUUUUUACAAGUAGGAUAAGGUGUAAUAUUAUUCGUUUAGUUGAAAGGAAGACUAGGACCUUCUUGUCUUGAUUAGUGAAGAAAUCUAUAAGAUUGGAAUUUAUUCUUUUCUAUAAAUGGGUGUUAUAAAAAUCAUAGACAAAAUUGAGCAGUGUGAUUUACUUGUCUACAGUUUGUACACCACAAUCCAAAAAUAUGAAUUCUCAAUUUUUGGUAUCUAGGCUCUAUAGUUGGAGUUUGAUUUUUAAUGAGGCAAGUCAUUUGUUCACUAAUAGCUUUCAUAGUGUUCAUCAUCUCAGUUUUGAACACCUCAUUGAUUUGCCUUUCUUUACUUUUAAAUUCUUUCAAUCUAGUAUCAUAAAAGGUCUUAGUUUGAAUUUGAUCAUGCGGAGGUUGUGUAGCUUAAGGUAUUGGAUUGCUAAUUGGCAAGGAAAAAUUAGAAGGUUGUGAGUAGCUUAAAGCUAGAGGUUGAUGGAAUUUUGUAGGUUGAUGUUGCAAGGAUAUAAAGGAGGAUAUUGGUUCUUCUACCGUUUGAAGCAUACAAUCAUUUUUCUUAUCAAUAACCUCCACUUCCAAAGCGGCUUGAAUGGCUCCUUCUAAGUCUUUAGGUCUCUUGUUUAGGAUAUCCCGAAUUGUAGAAGGCAUGGCAAAACCUUGAAUAAAGUAGUACCUUAUGGUAUCCUCAUUUAAAAGAUUACCAACAUAUCGAGUACAUACUAUCUGAAAUCGCCUUACAUAAGAAGUAAUAUCUUCUAAAGGACCCUGUCUAAUAGUUGUCAAGGCUGAAAGAGCUUGUUGUUGGCCAAUUACGAGCCUAUAUUCAUAAAAAAAUACUGCUAGAAGUUGUUCUUAUUUAGUGAAUGCCCCUAUCUAUAUGGAAUCUAUACCAAGCAUACGUAGAAUCUGUUAAGGUUUUUAGAAACCAUAUUAAAUAGUAGUCAUGAUUGGUUACUAAACUAGUGAUAAGCACUUCUACAAACCUUUCUAUGUAGGAUGUCGGGUCUUCAUUAAUAGAUCCACUAAAUCUUCGAAGGUUAGGUGGAAUUGAUGCCCCUUGUAAUCCUAAAGAUACUACAAUUGAUAAUUCUUUAGGUAAUAUCAUCGGGUCGAUUUGGGUAUUGUCUUGAAAGUUGUGGUUAUCUUCAUUGGCUACAUUAGCCGUUUGAGUUGAAAAUAGUCAAGGCUCUACUUGAAGCUGUGAAGGAUGCCAUCUACCUGUCAAGGACAAAGACUCGAUGAGGAAAAAUAUACACCAAAAGGCUAUCUCGAUAUAAUAAGUCAAAAUAUAAACAAGUAGGUAUAUUAAAAGGAAACUGGAAUGGCUAUUGCCACAAGACAAGAAACUAAAGACUCUUGAACCUGGACUAGAAGCAAGAAAGGAGUUGACAAGAGUGAAGAAGCCUUCACUCUUGUCUCUAUAUAUACUAUCUAACUAGGGGCUACGUGGCGACGUUCUAUAGGACCUCCAAUAUGUGUUGACUUUGUAGGACACAUGCCUUGACUUACAAGGCAAGUUUUUCUACGUGUGGGCCACAUAGUUAGCUUGAUCUUCAAGCUAACAACAUGUGUGGCACAUAGCCAACUUGUUGACCACGUUUCUAAUCCAAAAAGUCAAUUAAAGACACCUAUGAAGUCAAAGCAGCAUCUAGGAAGUUUCUAGGAAGCUUCUAUAUUAAAUAUUAUAGAAUUAACUUACUUUUAUCUACUUUUACUUACUUCUACCUAUUUCUAUAUGUAAUUAUUAGCUUACAUGAUUAUAGCCGUGACAUUACCCCCCCUUCUAGAGACGAGUUCCACGAGGAGCGGUCAUCAUAUGUUGAGGAAAUCUAUGAUGCGACGAAUUGUAUUCGCCACAUACUCUGAUCUCUGUUCUCUUCGAAGAUGAUUGAUAGGGCCUCUCAACCAUCGGUAGUGUCCCAUACCAGGGCGGGAAGACCACCCAGUUAUUUGAUCAUUAUUGAGGCCUUCAUAACUUCCUUCGAAUAGAAUAUUCGGAACACCAUCAGGAGUUGUUCCUACCUCUAGCAAAAUCACCAAACAUCGGGAGUCCCUUCCCAAAUCGUGAUACCAAACGCGUUGUAUCUCACCAUCUGUUCGAGGAAGAACAUGUCGUUCUUGAAGAUCUUCAUCUCGAUUGCGUCGUCUUGAAGGUUGUGACAAUUGUAAUGUCUCGUCCGACAGGUCAGCAAACGAAGGUUCUUGAGUUGAAUCUGCUGGUUGUUGGCUCUCCAUCUAAUUAGCGUCACAAAUGCAAAGAAGUUACAAACAAGGAUAGGAAAUUUAAUGUUAUCUUGCCUCAAUCUUGUCUCUUUUAUAAGAGAGAUUUUCAUCUUGGUUUUGAUGGAUGUCGUUGAUGAAAAACUUUGACUUUAGUUGAUGCAUUUGCUAGAUUCCUGGAUGGCUCCCAUGUGCGUUCACUAAUAUCAUAUCCGCGCCAAUGAACAAGAUAUUCCAGCUUAUUUCGGUGCCGCCUUGAGUCUAAUAUCUCUUCCACCUCAAAUUCUUCAUUAUUAUCUACUUCUAUAGGAGGUGGUGGCAUUUGUCUUCUUCCUUGUAUAUCCACUGUCUUAUAUGGUUCAAGAAGAGAUACGUGGAAUACAGGAUGGAUCUUCAUUGACUCUGGUAGAUGUAACCGAUAUGCAACUGGGUUGAUCUGUUCAGAAACAGAAAAGGGGCCAAGCCUACGAUAGUCCAACUUGUCACAAGGUCGAGUAGUCUUGAUAUUGCGACGAAGUAGCCAUACCUUAUCACCGACGUUGAUCUGUGGUUGCUCCUUACGAUAUAGAUCUACGUUUAUCUUUUGUCGUUCUUGAGCUUCCUUCAAUUGUGUCUUCAUUAUUGCAUGUAACUCUGACAACCGAUUUGCCAUAUCUUCUACUGCAGGAUUAUCAACUUUUGAAAAAUCAAAAGUAUCAAGUCGUGGAUGAUAGCCAUAAUUGGCAAAGAAAGGUGUUUGUUGCGUGGAAGAAUGUACCGUAUUAUUAUAAGCAAACUCUGCCAAUGGCAGAAGGGUUGUCCAAUCAUCUUGUUGGUAGUUGAUAGUACACCUUAAAUAUUGCUCCAAGACUUGGUUUACACGCUCUGUUUGUCCAUCAGUUUGAGGAUGAAAAGCCGAAGAUAGUUUUAUGUCCACUUUUAAAAUCUUGAAAAGGGUCCUCCAAAAUCUUGACACAAAUUGAGUUCCCCUAUCCGAUAUGAUAUCUUUAGGUAAUCCAUGAUAGCGAUAGAUAUUAUCAAUGAAAAACUUAGCUGUUUCUUCACCUGUGAUAGAUUUUGUACAUGGCACAAAAUGUGCCAUCUUGGUGAAACGAUCUACUAUCACAAAUAUAGAAUCAUAAGAUCUUGAGCUUGGAAGAUCUGUGAUGAAAUCCAUAGAAACAGAAGACCAUGGUUGUUCUGGUAUAGGUAAUGGCUGAAGAAGUCCGUAAGGUCGAUGACGAGGAAUUUUUGAUCUUGAACAAAUAUCACAUGAUUGUACAAAGUCUUUGACUGACUUCCACAUUUGUGGCCACCAAAAAUCUCUUGAUAUGAGUUCCAAAGUCUUAUUAUAUCCAAAGUGCCCUGCUGCUGGAAAGUCAUGACGUGCUUGAAGAACACGUAAACGUGCUUCUCCUUCUGGAACAUAUAGGCGUCCUUCAAAAUAUAAUAGAUUAUUCUUGAACUCAAACUUAGAAGGAUCAUGAGACUUGGAAGAAUUAUUCUCGAUAUCAUAAACAAGAGGGUCUGAGGACAUACUGGACUGGAUUUGCUUGAGAAAAGUUGAAUCAACAGUCAAUGUUGAUUUCAUUGCUCGGAGAUGAAAUUGCUCCGGUUUCAAGAGGACCGUUCUUUGUUGCUCAAAAGCUGCAUCUCCUUCUUUUGGUGCAAAAUAAGAACGUCUAGAUAGGGCAUCGGAUAAACCUUGUUGUUUUCCUGGCCGAUAAGUGAUAAUGAACUCGAAUCUUGACAAAGACAUACUCCAACGAGCUUGACGACGAUUCAACACGCGUGCUGACAUGAAAUACUCGAGGUUCUUGUGAUCUGUAUACACAGUGACUGGACUAGAAGCGCCUUCUAGAUAAUGACGCCAUUCUUGAAAGGAAUCCACGAUCGCAAGAAGUUCUUUAUCGUGGAUCUCAUAAUUGAUCUCGGCUGCUGAGAAUUUUCUUGAAUGAAAAGCUAUCGGAUGGAGUUUGUCAUCUGUUCCCAUUUGUGAUAAAACUGUACCCAAGGCAAAAUCUGAUGCAUCUGUUUCCAUAAAAAAUGCCUUGGAAAAGUCAACACGAUAUAAGACUGGUGCAGAGACAAACGAUGUCUUCAAGGCUUCAAAUGCUGCUUCCGCUUCUUGAUUCCAUUGAAAUUUAUCUUUACUAGUCAAGCGUGUAAGUGGAGCUGCAACUCGUGAGAAAUCUUUGAUGAAGAUCCGAUAGUAAUUCGCAAAUCCCAAGAAACAUUGGACAUCUCUUACCGUCCUUGGAAUCUUCCAAUCCACGAUUGUUUGGACUUUCUUAGAAUCCAUCAUGAGACCAUCAUUUGAAAUGAUGUAUCCUAAAAAGUCAACUUGAGUAGUGUGAAAUACACACUUUUCCAUCUUGGCGUACAAUCCUGCAUCUCUAAGUUUUUGUAAUACUUGACGAACAUGUAUUUCAUGUUCUUCGACGUUCUUGGAAUAGAUCAGGAUAUCGUCUAGAUAGCAGAUGACAAAAUUGUCUAAGAAUUCUCGAAAUACAUCAUUCAUGAGAUGUUGAAAAGCAGCUGGUGCAUUCGUGAGUCCAAAGGGCAUGACAUUAUAUUCGAAAUGUCCAUACCUGGUUCGAAACGCAGUCUUCCAUUCAUCUCCUUCUUUGAUCCGUACUAGAUUAUAUGCUCCUCUUAGAUCUAUUUUUGUAUAGAUCUUAGCUUGAUUCAACUGGUCAAAGAGUCCUGAUAUCAAAGGUAAUGGAUACCUGUUCUUGAUUGUGAUCUUGUUGAGUCCUCGAUAAUCAACACACAUUCGUAAAGAUCCAUCUUUUUUCUUUACGAAUAGAAUUGGAGCUCCUGCUGGAGAUUUUGAAUGGCGUAUGAAAUUCUUCACUAAAUUCUCGUCAAUAUAUGUCUUGAGUUCAGCCAUCUCAUCUUGCGAUAAACUGUAAAUUGGUCCAAAUGGUGGCUGAGUUCCUUCCUUGAGGUCGAUUGAACAAUCAUAUGGGCGAUGCUCAGGAAGAAUAUCUGCAUUCUUUUUCUCAAAAACGUCUUGAUACUCCUGAUAUUGACUUGGAAUGCCACUUGAAGUCUUUACGUUUUCAGAAAUAGGUGCAGCAUAAAUAGCAAAAGUUGAUCCUUCUUUUGCUGCGUGUAUAAAUGCUUUUGCACCUAUCAGUACGGGUUUUACUGUACUAGACUUAUAAUUUUUUACUUAGUUCGUAGAACUAUUAAUAACGCUUUCGGAAAAGUCAAGUUUACGUGAAUUCCAAUCUAUUCGAGGGUUUAUUUUUCUAGCUAGGAUAAACCUAAAAUAACUGGAUUAGACGGGGAUUUAAUUAUGUUAAAAGCUAUGUAGCUAUCAUGACCGUCUAUUGUUACUUUUAUAGGAUGAGUUUCAUGAGUGACAUCUCCAGAAGACAAGGGACGACUAUCUAUGACUUCUACAUGUACUGGUUUAGGUUUCUGUACAAAGGAUAUUUUACGACUUUUAACAAAUUGUUCAUCUAAAAAACAUGCUGAGGCUCCCGAAUCUAAUAAAGCAGAGGCUUUGUAAUUCUUAGGUCCUAAAUAUAAGUCUAUUAUAAAACAAGGAGAGGGUUCUGAGGAGAGGAUAGGACCUUCAUUAGGAAUUGUACAAGGUUCCAGCUGCACGGUCCCUAUUGUAGCUGGACGAAUCCGUUUUCCGACAUGUUGUCUUCUUUGACCGUCGUAUCCCUCAUUUUAUAGUUGUGUCGUUUCUUUGGACAAUGUUGAGCAGUGUGCUUAGGUUCUCCGCAAUAUAAACAUAAUCCUUCUUGACGACGACGAAUCUUUUCUUGCUCAAUUAGGGAUUUAAAACGUACCGCGUCAAUUUGCAUGUCUUCUACUUUCGAAUGUACGUUUGGCAAAGAUGUUGAUGUUGCCAUUGAGUAAUAACGUUGAGGUUCCCGUGAAUGAUUCUCGGAUCGAAAUUCAAAAAGUCGAUUAUCACAUUUUACCGCAAAAUCGAUUGCUUGACUCAAAGUUUGAGGAUCAGGUAAGUUGAGCAUCAAUUUCUUUACUUUGUAUUGCAAUCCAUAAAGAAAUUGACUGAUGAGUGCAGCAUCAUCCCACUUGAUGUCAAUUGCAAGUUGUCGAAAUUGUGAAGCAUAUACUGUUACUGAGCGAUUUCCUUGUCGUAGAAUUUGGAUCUUAUUUGUUGCAACACGAGUUGCAUCGUGUUCACCAUACAUAGAUUGAAACUCCGCCAAAAAAGCUUCCAAAUUGUCCAAUAUUGGAUUUCGUUGUUCAAGAAAAGACGAAAACCACGAUAAUGCAGAACCAGAAAGUAGAGUGCCAAUAAACCUGACUUGUGAUCUUGGAGUUGGAUAGCUUUGCGGUUGAAGUUCAAUUGCCAAUUGUACUUGAUUGAUGAACCCUCGAAACUUUGAUCUCGUACCAUCAAAUUUCUCAGGUAAGGCAAUUCUUGGUUCUCUAGUGCUUAUAGGGUGUUGUACAAUUGGAGAAGGAACGUGAUUUGUUGUAGAUGUUGAAGCAGCUCCGAUCAUCUCUAUAUCUCCACUUUCUGCUAUUCUUGUUCUUUCCUGUGUUGGUGAAUUGAGUUGAUGCAUCGCAAGCAUUAACUCCCUCAUUUGCUCUUGCAUUUGUGCCAUUGCACUCUUCAUUUCAACAAGCUCUGUCAUAAUGACACUAAGAAGAAAAAUUUGUUUGAUAUUGCUCAAGACAAAAGAAAAGAAAGACUUGAUAACAAAGAAGAUACUAAGAACAAUAUCAGUUUAGAAGUGGGUAAUCCGCAAACUUCUAAUACGCUUAUGUCUUGUCAAGAGAAAGGGGUAAUCCACUCUUACUCAAGAAAAAAACAAAGCUCUGAUAUUGUAAGUGUACUCUUGUCAAUCUGUCAAGGACAAAGACUCGAUGAGGAAAAAUAUACACCAAAAGGCUAUCUCGAUAUAAUAAGUCAAAAUAUAAACAAGUAGGUAUAUUAAAAGGAAACUGGAAUGGCUAUUGCCACAAGACAAGAAACUAAAGACUCUUGAACCUGGACUAGAAGCAAGAAAGGAGUUGACAAGAGUGAAGAAGCCUUCACUCUUGUCUCUAUAUAUACUAUCUAACUAGGGGCUACGUGGCGACGUUCUAUAGGACCUCCAAUAUGUGUUGACUUUGUAGGACACAUGCCUUGACUUACAAGGCAAGUUUUUCUACGUGUGGGCCACAUAGUUAACUUGAUCUUCAAGCUAACAACAUGUGUGGCACAUGGCCAACUUGUUGACCACGUUUCUAAUCCAAAAAGUCAAUUAAAGACACCUAUGAAGUCAAAGCAGCGUCUAGGAAGUUUCUAGGAAGCUUCUAUAUUAAAUAUUAUAGAAUUAACUUACUUUUAUCUACUUUUACUUACUUCUACCUAUUUCUAUAUGUAAUUAUUAGCUUACAUGAUUAUGGCCGUGACACUACCAUGCUCUAUCCCGAUAGAAGCUUGCGACAUCUUGUCACAAGGUUCUUUUAAUAUGUGGGUUUUUAAAACUAUAGAUUUAAUAUAUGAUCUAAAUUAUAAAACUCAUCUAGAUUGCAAAACAAGGCCAGUAGGGGGAAGAUAAACUAUCUUAGAUUUAAUUCUAUAUAGCAUAUAACUAAGUAUAUGACUCUUCAAUGACUCUCUUAAGAUAAAAGACUUAAUAGGUGAUUAAAAAUAAAACAAGUAGACUUUAAAUUAUUUUUAUUUUAUUUUAUGAAAUAACAUAAAAUCCUUUUCUCUUCUUACUUAUUUGUAAGGCAUGUGGUUUAAUUAUAUACUAAGAUGAAAUCUCGUGCCGAUCUCAAAUUAGUGGUUUCACCCAAUAAUUAAACCUUUCGCACGAGUGAUGCAUGAGGUCCAAUUAAAUACCAAGUUAAGAUCUUGUGUUGAUCUUAAUAUGGUGGAAUCACCCAUUAAUUGUACUUGAUUUAUAAUUUAGAGAUUGGAAAAUGAGGCCAAAGAAAGUACAAGUAAUUUAAAAAUUUUAUCACAUGGAUACUACAAAAAUCAAAUGGACCGAAAAAAUGGCAACUUGUAGAGCAACCUAUUGCUUUCAACUUUGUCUCAUGGGGGUCAUCACGUCCCGUAAGUACUAGCUCAACAAUAAAAGAAAGUCAUGUCGACCGUUAACCUGACUUUACUUUCUAUAAAACAACUACAAAUUGAAAUAGCACUUAUCAACAACACACCAAGUUCCCUUCAGGAAAAGAGGUAGAGUGGAGAAAUUCUUGGGUCGUAUAAUGGAUUUUGUCCACUUAUAUUAUAAGAAGAUAGAAGGAGUUUAGAAAAUACUUGGACACAAUAAGUCCCCCCAUGCUCCUUUUUAAAUAUACCUGAACUAAAAAUAAAAAUAAAAAGCUAGGUUUGAAACCCACCUAAUUUUACCAAGCUGUGUUCUUUUUCCUUGAUCCACAAUCUGUGUUAGUAAAAUAAAUUUGAAACUAAAUGAUUUUUUUUAAAAAUAUACUCACCUAAGAUUAUAAUUUAAACUUAUUAGUCUUCUCUUUUCUUCUUUUCUUCUUUUUUCUUACUUGUUCUAAAUUUCUUCUAUCUAAUUCUUCUAUCUAUUUUUUCUUCUUGAAUCUCUUUUUCUUUUGUUCAUAAAGAAUUUUUUUGAAUUCUUUUUAAGCUUCUUCUACACAACUCCUAUGAAUAGAAGGGAUAUGAAGGGUGAAGGGAGUGAUAAAAUCUCCCUACCACUAGAAAAAGGCCCUCCACUGGAAAUUUACAAGGAUGCAAAGAGAUGGUACAAGGGGUGGAAGAAGUGAUUAAAUCCCCCUACUACUAGAAAAAAGUGUGAGUGUAAAUUUCCACCCCUCAACCCAAAUUAUAAGAUGGCCUCAAUUAAGAGAUGCUUGUAAUAGGUGGUGUGAAGUAGAAGUAACAAACAACAAGAACCUAAGAAGAAUAACACAAAAUAAGUGAAACAAGUGCAAUCAAGCAAUUGUACACUACAAGACGAGUCACAGUCUGUUCACUGAAUUUUCAACCAAUAAAAAGUAAAAAGUAAAAGUAAAAGUAUAUUUUUAGAAAGGUAAUUUUUUAUCUUUUCAAUGAUGUAAAAAAUAUGUAAAUCCGAGUUACUAUGAAUAAGUUAUGAAGGAUUGAAAAUAACAAGUAACAAAUGGAAAGUUAAGAGAAAAAUAUUUUACCUCAAGGGUACCUUGUUAAUAGAUCAAGGGUUCGAACCUCACCAAGGCUCACAUGUAGUGUAUAUGAGGUGCCUAAAGUCGCCUUGAGGCCUUAGUCUUAUCUUCCUACCUACAUCUAAGGUGCUACACCCCAUAUAGGACUUGUGCACCUCCCUUCUUACAAGGACUAUACUAGCUGCUGGUCCUCCUAUUUUCUACUAGUAGAAUUAAUAUUUUUGCAUUUUUGACUUCACCAUGGUGUUUAAAAACACCCAAUUAGCCUAGGAACAUUGUGUAGCCUUCAAACCUUGCUCCGUUUCUUCAUAAUGGCUCCCCAAGUGGUAAAACUCAAUUUUACCAAGGUCUUGAAAAUUAUCCUAAAAAUUCAUAGAAAAUUCUAAAUAAAUUCUAAAUAAAUUCUAAAAUUUUCUAUAAUAUUUCUAUAAUUCUAAUAUCCAUUUAAAGAUAUAAUUCCCUAUAUUGAUGAUUUUUUUAUGGUGAUAAAAAUCAAUUUGAAUUUACUAAAAAUUCUAAAUAAUUUCUAAAUAAAUUCUAAAAAUUCCUAUAAUAUUUCUAUAAUGCUAGUAGCAAUUUAAGGAUAUGAUAUCCUAUAUUAUUUAUUUUUUAUAGUAAUGAAUCAAUUUAAAACUACUAUAAAUUCUACUUUCUAUAUAAAUAACUAAAAAGACAUGAGGUUCUUUUUCAUACUUCUUUUAAAUACUAACUAAUAUUUAUAGUUUUUUUAUAAGUAAUAUAUAUAGAUAUAAGAUCAAUAUAAAUAUUGAUUUUAGUAACUAAUCCUUAUUCUUCAAUAAUAAAUAAAAAUACCAAAUCAACUAAAAUAAUUACCUCCAAGACUUACUAAGAUUCCAUUUCUUCUCCACUAAUACUAUUCUUCUUUCUUUAACAUCGUCUAAGCACAUCUUUACCUAAUAAUUAUAAUUUUGGUACUCUAUAUGCAUUCUUUUGUCCUAAAACAACUAGUGAGUCAAUCUGAUGACUCACAAAAGGCCUUCAACUUGAAAAUUUACAAGGAGGGGGAGUGAUGAAACCUUGCAGAAUAAGUAGUUAUUUUUAGAAUGUAGAUACCUAGUGUAUAGUGUAAACAGGGAUAGAUAAGUACUGAAAAGGUGGUUCAACAGGUAGAAUAGAUGAAUAGUCAAGAAAAGUAGUUAUCUUCUGUAGUAUAGGAGUUGGUAUCUCCGGGUAGUAUAAGGAGGAUGGGAGAGGGGAAGAAAAUGCCAAACUGCAAUAAUACUGAGCCGGGGAUAAGCUUGGUGCUAUCUCUUCUUCUUCAUUUUCUUGUUUCUUUUGUGUUAGUGUUGAUUCUAGUGAAGAGAAUCGAUGCAAUGAAUCAAUGUUUGAUUUACGUAGUUAUUUAUGGAUCACUAUUUAUCAAUUGUUGUGAAAGAUUGAGGAUGUAUGGAAGUUUUCAGUCACUGUUUAUCGCAAGGUUGUAAGAUCAGUGGAGAAGAAUUGUAAUCGAAGGAAUUGUCUUAAUCAGAUUUUGUGGAUUGGAAGUUGUUCGUUCUAAGAUUUGGAUUGUGCUUGUGUAUUUAUGAAUUACACAAGGUACUGAAAUUGAUAUCGUGAUUAUUACCAUAUUGAUAUGAGAGAGUGGACAGUAGGAGGAAAACUUAAGUGUUCUUUGGUAUUAUAAGCAUUCAGCAGUAGCAGUUAAUUGUGUGAUCCUAACAAUUGGAGCUCAUAUACAUGGUCUUUUCUUGUGUUCAAAUUCGCCUAUACGGAUUUAUUUUGGGAGUUUUCUUCCGAAAUAAGUAAAACGACAACCACAUUUUGGUGUCGCUUUUGAAGAUUGACAACAUUAUUGAUUGUUAGGAAUUAACUGCCGAAGCAGUAAAGGAGAUUAGGAAGCAAACUCAGUAGAAGUAAUGAAAGAAUAUGGUUAUUAAGAAUGAGAAUUUAAUAGCAAAGAGAAUAAAGAAAUCAAAGGAAAGAACAAAGAGAUCGUAAGCAAGAAAUUUGUUGCGUAACAAGCAAGAUUACAAAUUAAAAAAGAAGCAUCGACAAAGUUAGAUUAAGCCAUGGUUACAUGCUUGUCGGCAUAUUUGAUCAUACUUAGAAGACGAUUGACCUCUAAUAUUUCAGAAGUACAUACCAUUAAAGAAAUUACCAAGAACACUCGUGGAGAGUGGUGCUAAUAGUCCAGCAUACCUGUCAAAGCUGUUAACGGAAAGUAAGGAAGGUACAGAGGAAUUAGGUACCCCAUUGGAUAUUUUUCCAAUUGGAGAUACAUCUAAUUCUAACAAGACUGGUUCAAAAGAUCAGCACAAAUGACUUGCCAAUAAAGACCAAUUCAGAGUAUAUCAAAACCUGUCAUUUUUACCAUAUAUUCAACUAGUAAAAUUAUUUGGAGAUAAUAAUAGUCAAUUCGAAAGGCUUGGAAGUCCAAAAAAGACUUUUUUGGAAGACAGUUUUUAUUUUAAUAAGGAAUUGAGCGGAACUUUGACAUCUUCAUCUCUGAAACUUGAUGCACCUCCAUUUCACAUGUGUAAAUUCUUAAGAACUUGGUGAUAUUCCUUCCAUGAAAUCUCCCAACUUUAUCCACUACUACUUGUAAGGCCUUAGUAGUGUUUCUAUCCUCUCCAUGCACCUAUUGCUUUUCUUCCAUAAAUUGAGCAAAUGUCCUGAAUAAAUCAUAGGCACCCACUCCUCCUGAUAAUCCAAACCGUGGAUUUUGAUCCUCCAUUUCAACUUGUUGAAAAAUCACUGCCUUAAGGCUCUCUCAGUGGAAGCACCAAUAUGUCGGGGUAGAGAGAAUUUGCCUCAAGAAAACGUUGGGCUUCUGGCUAUCACUAAUUAUUCAAUCAAGCUUGAAAAUAAGGAAAGCCCUAAGUUUAUAUAUAAUUUUUUUCUUUUGAAUAAUUACACCAAAUACACAAUCCUCAAGUAACCCACAACUUCCAAAAUAUGAUAAAAUCUUCUAAAACCUUGUUUAUUCUUAUGUAGAGAUUUUUCCGAACUUCAACACUUCAUAUCUCCUAAUCCGACCAUCCAAACAAAUUCAAAUUUUACAUGAGGUACUGAUGUAUUCUUAUUAACUUUUACAACAAAUUUCAACUACAAAUUCGUUGCAGAUCUUGAGAUAUCUUGAAAACCCUAACAGUCGCUUCAAACCCUUGUCUUUAUAUACUUGCAUGCAAUUUUCUUCAUAUCUCACAAAAUAUAAGCUCAAAUGCCACGAAAUUUAUAUGUAUAGCUUCUUAACACAAAGUUUUACAUUCUUCAAAAAUUUUGAGCCAAAAAUUUGUCAAAAAACUCAAGUUAUGGCUCCAACCAUUACUACAAACAAAACCGCUUACUUACUGCCUUGGAUUUGGAAGCACCGCCUUCAACUCCUUACAAUUCCUUUAUAUGAACUCCAAAAGCAAUAAUUCUUUCAUGAGAGAUGUAGGCCUUGAAAUAGCCAUUCCAGUCACACCUUCCGAUCUUCAAAAGCUACUGUAAAACUCCUCGUACUCUCAAAAGAGUAACAAUAUGUCUUAAAUAAAUACCUUAACUUCAAAUGGCUAUAACUUUUUCAUCCUAAUUCCAAAUCCUCUAAUUUUUCCACAAAAAUUGUACCUCAAAUCCUAAAAUUUACAGUCCUAGCUUGUUAUCUCCAAAUUCCCUUGAAAGAGGAAUCCUUAUCCCUAAUAAGGCCUUGGGCAGUCUCCUUGAAGCCCAUUGAGCAUGGCAUUCGACCAAUAGGGAUGAAGUUCCCCAUUCCUUGCCUUCAUUCAACCAUGCUUUGCUUUUAUCCCUUCCAAUGAGCCUCCUAUUAGUUUAGAUUUUCAUCCUUAGGCUUCCACCUUCUCCGAAGGCUUCAUACUAAACAUUUAGAUCUUAUAUAUAUAUAUUUUUUAAUAUCAAAAUCAAAACAAGUAAAGAAACAAAGUAAAGUUUCUUAUACCAACUCCUUUUAAUUAAAUCUACUAGCCACUCUAACACACAUCUAGAUUUAUUAACAUAUAAUAUGUUCUAACUAAUUUUUAUAUAUUGUAAGCAUUUACAGUAUGACAAUGCCGUCAAAAUUGAGACAAAUGUUGAUCUAGAUCCGCACCUGGCAAACCCUGAAAAGUAAGUAAUGGCACGACGCUAGUCAUUUGAUCAUCUACUGCACCUAUUUGAACUGCAAUCAGAAGUGGUGGUCCUCCAGAUACCAUGAAAGGAUUUGGAAUUAGGAUGAAAAAGUUAUAGCCAAUUGAAGUUAAUGUAUUUAUUUAAGACAUAUUGUUACUCUUUUGAGAGUACGAGGAGUUUUACAGUAGCUUUUGAAGAUCGGAAGGUGCGACUGGAAUGGCUAUUUCAAGGCCUACAUCUCUCAUGAAAGAAUUAUUGCUUUUGGAGUUCAUAUAAAGGAAUUGUAAGGAGUUGAAGGCGGUGCUUCCAAAUCCAAGGCAGUAAGUAAGCGGUUUUGUUUGUAGUAAUGGUUGGAGCCAUAACUUGAGUUUUUUGACAAAUUUUUGGCUCAAAAUUUUUGAAGAAUAUAAAACUUUGUGUUAAGAAGCUAUACAUAUAAAUUUCGUGGCAUUUGAGCUUAUAUUUUGUGAGAUAUGAAGAAAAUUGCAUGCAAGUAUAUAAAGACAAGGGUUUGAAGCGACUGUUAGGAUUUUCAAGAUAUCUCAAGAUCUGCAACGAAUUUGUAGUUGAAAUUUGUUGUAAAAGUUAAUAAGAAUACAUCAGUACCUCAUGUAAAAUUUGAAUUUGUUUGGAUGGUCGGAUUAGGAGAUAUGAAGUGUUGAAGUUCGGAAAAAUCUCUACAUAAGAAUAAACAAGGUUUUAGAAGAUUUUAUCAUAUUUUGGAAGUUGAGGGUUACUUGAGGAUUGUGUAUUUGGUGUAAUUAUUCAAAAGAAAAAAAUUAUAUAUAAACUUAGGGCUUUCCUUAUUUUCAAGUUUGAUUGAAUAAUUAGUGACAGCCAGAAGCCCAACGUUUUCUUGAGGCAAAUUCUCUCUACCCUGACAUAUUGGUGCUUCCACUGAGAGAGCCUUAAGGCAGUGAUUUUUCAACAAGUUGAAAUGGAGGAUCAAAAUCCACGGUUUGGAUUAUCAGGAGGAGUGAGUGCCUAUGAUUUAUUCAGGACAUUUGCUCAAUUUAUGGAAGAAAAGCAAUAGGUGCAUGGAGAGGAUAGAAACACUAUUAAGGCCUUAUAAGUAGUAGUGGACAAAGUUGAGAGGUUUGAUGGAAGGAAUAUCACCAAGUUCUUAAGGAUUUACACAUGUAAAAUGGAGGUGCAUCAAGUUUGAGAGAUGAAGAUGAUUACCACCUUUGAUUUGGCAGUGGUAUCAGAAAUUAGAGAAAGGGUGCAAGAGUUACAUUUUGAGACUAUAUCAUGGAAGAAAUUUGAAGAACUCUUGAGAGAUGAAUUUUUUGAAGAAGAUUCAGAAAGAAUGACAAGGUAGAUUUUUUUGGAGUGGAUUGAGCAAAGGCUAGGGAAUCAAUUGGCUCCAAAUGAAUUAAUCAAGGAAUUUGAGACCAAGUUUGAGCAAUUACCAUGGCAGGAGAGGCAGCUCUUAGAAACAAAGAAAACUGGAUUAUUUUUAUAAGCAAUUGAUAAAUAUUUAGAAGAUAAGCUUUUCUUUUAUCUAGCAGAUAAGACAUCUGAGAGUGGUUUUAUAAAUAAUUGGAAGCUAUUAAAAGAGACUGUGGAACUUUUGGCUAAACAACAACAGAUUAAGACUUGUGGUUUAAUAUCGAGAUUGGAACCAGUGCCUACAUCUCAGAAUCAAGGACCACCUGAAAAGAUGAUCAAGACUGUUAAUGAUGAUACUCUUGAAGAAUUGAUCAAGGGUAUACAAGAUUUGAAAGUGAAAAUGAUUGAGUUGAAGAAAUUCCAAAUAGCAAAUUCAUCAAAGACAUUUGAAGGCUCAAAGGAAUUUGUACAAACAUGUAUGUAGUGUGACAAUCCAAACCACAAGUGUGGUGAAUGUAACAGCUACAAAGGUGCAAUCAAGGAUGGUAUUGUAUACUUCAAAGAUGAGAAGAUAAGACUCUUAAGGUCAAAUGAGCCUUUAAAGCCAAAUUUUGGAAAGGGUGGCAUGAAAAAAUUGAUAGAAGAGCAAAUAUCAAGAAAUAAUGCCAUACAAGUAGAAGGAGCUGAGUCUUACUCUGUUACAAUUGAACAAAAAGUACUUAAGGCUAUUUUCCUACCAACUAUAGAAGUCAUGAUCAAGGGAGCUGAAGCUAUCAAAAAAAUGACUAGGUAGAAUGAUCCAGUUGAUACUAUUAAUAUUAAAGCAUAUUUAUGUGGAGAUAAAUAUGAUGAUGAUUUACAUGAUGCCAUGGUUGAAGAAAAAAGAGGUAGAACUAUUCAUGAAGAAGAUGUUAUUGAGCCUGAAAAUAAGAAGAGGUCUCCAAGAAACAAAGAAGCUUUUAAGAAGCAAAAAUCAGAGAAAAUGCCUUCUUCUACUCAUCCUGGUGGUACACCAUUACCAAAAGAGUAGUGGAAGAAGAGCAAAGAGAAAGAAAAAGAUGAUGCAAGCAAACCUAAAGGUAAAAAUCCUGCUCAUAAACUUUAAUCUGACAUUGAAACAUCUACAGAUAUGAAGAGCAUUUUGGAGGAAAAGAUCUUAGAUGCAAAAAUUGAAUUCAUUCUGAGAAAGACUCUUGGUAUAGCUAAAAAGAAUUUCCAUGAGUGGAUCAUCAAUGUAAUAAAGAAGAAGAGGCAAAUGAUAGCUGAAGCUAUUAUGAUAGAAGCAUUGGAUACUCGGGUAACUAUGGAUGAGGAAGAAGAGAUAGGGCAAGUAUUUGCAUAAUUUGCAAUACUAGGAGCUAGAAUUAAGGUUGAUAUGGAGAAUGAGGCUUUAAAUAAAUAUGAAGAAGCUAUAGAUGAGCAUCAAAUGAAAUGUGCAUCUAUAAAAAUUACUAGGAUAAAGAAGAAUGUACAAGAAGCAUGUGUGAAUACUUGUUCUAAAUGUGAUAAUGAUGGAAUGGGAAGUAGUAGCUAUUCAGUUCUUUAUUGGGCUAGAGCUACUACGGAGACAUAUGUGAGGUUGGGAGACUCUAAAGAUCCAAUUUUGGCUUUAGUUGAUUAUGAAUCAGAAUUCAAUAUCAUGUCAAGGUGAAUAUAUGAGAAAAAUAAGUAGCCAAUUGAUACCAAUCAUAGUAGGAUAAUUAGAGCUGCAAACAACCAACAAGGUGAUUUAUAUGGAGCUUGCCUAGCUAUAAGGACUAGAAUUGGAGAUGUGGAAGUGGAGCAAAAUUUCUUCGUGCAAAACUCUGCUACAUACCUAGUAAUACUUGGUCAACCUUAUAUUACAGCUAUUAGAAUGGAAACUAAAAUCUUGGAUGAUGGUUCACAUUAUGCCAAGAUUCAUAGUUGGAAUGGAAGAAAAGCUGUGCAGUUUAUUACUGUGAAACUUAUUCAUGAAAGGCAUAGAGAAUAAUUAAGAGAGAUGCCUUUGGAGCCAGGAAACAACUUUGUGGAUUUCUAGAAAGCACCCUUAUAGAAUGGGGACACAUGGGUGUAAAUAAGUUAUCUGCAAAUGCCAUUGUAGAUAAUAUGAAUUUUGGAUUUUUAAACUUGAUUAGUAAUGGAUUUGUGAAUAUUCAAAAGAUUAAAGAUUCAAAUUUUGUAUAUAGAAGAAGGAUGAAGAAACAAGAGAAAAACUUAAAAAGAGUGGAUUUAGUUUCAAGUGAUGAAGCUAUAGUUGGAAUAACAAAAGAAAUAGAUUUGGAAGAUGAUUUGAUAAAGGUUCUUGAAAAUUUAGCUAUAAGUAUGGAUGAAAAUACUAUAGUAGAAAUAUAUUCAAGAGAGACUUAUGAAGAAUUAGAAAAGAUAGUGAUAAUUGGUGGGCUUGUGUCACGGACAUACUCAUGUAAGCUAGUAAUUACAUAUACAAAUAUGUGGAAGUAAGUAAAAGUAGAUAAAAGUAAGUUAAUUCUAUAGUAUUUAAUAUGGUAGCUUCCUAAAAGCUUCAUAGACAUUGCUUUGACUUCAUAGGUAUCUUUAAUUGACUUUUUGGAUUAGAAACGUGGUCAACAAGUUGGAAAUGUGCCACAUAUGUUGUUAACUUGAAGAUCAAGCUAACUAUGUGACCCACACGUAGAAAAACUUGUCUUGUUAGUCAAGGCAUGUAUCUUACAAAGUCAACACAUAUUGGAGGUCCUAUAGAAUGUCGCCAUGUAGUCCCUACUUAGAUAGUAUAUAUAGAGACAAGAGUGAAGCCUUCUUCACUCUUAUCAACUCCUUUCUUGCUUCCAAUCUAGUUUCAAGGAUCUCUAAUUUUCUUGUCUUUUGGCAAUAGCCAUUCCGGUUUCUCUUUCAAUAUACAUAUUUAUUACCUUUCUUUGAGUGAAGGCUCACUUAUCUGAAUUGUUUUUUCAUCAAGUUCUUGUCUUUGAAAGCUUGCUACAAGCUAUGGAUUGAAACAUGAAGCUAGAGUACAAACUAAAUAUAAAGUUGUAGUAAGAAAGGUAAAGCCUAUAGCUACUCAAUUAUCAAUUGAUACUAUGGAUCAUAUCAACCAAGCAAUUAAGGAGCCAAGUCUAAGAGAAGAAAGUGGCAUUGGGCAUCAAUUUACUCAAGAAUCAUUAAUUAAAUUGAAGAUUGGAGGGGGUGAUUUCUUGACAUCAACAGAGAAAAUUAUAUUUCAAAAAAUGCUUAUUAGGUAUGGUAAGGCAUUUGCCUCAACUCUUGAUGAAAUUGGAUGUGUGGAUCCUAAUGUUGUAGUACCUAUAGUAAUCUUUAUUGUGCCGCAUGUUCCAUGGUAUUUAAAGCCUAUACCUGUGCCCAGAGCUUUACUUCCAAAGUUGAUAGAACUACUAAAAGAGAAGGUGAAGAUGGAUAUUUUAAAACCUUCAAUUGCUCCUUAUUCUAAUAGAUGGUUCACAAUACUUAAGAAGUCAGGGGCAUUAAGGUUUAUUCAGGAUAUACAACUUGCAAAUAGAGUAACUAUUCAAAAUAUGGGAUCAGGUCUUAUAGAAGAUGAAGUAGUUAAAUAAUUUGCAAGUCAUGCCAUCUAUUCUAUUGGAGACUUAUAUUCGGGAUAUGACCAAUUUUAAUUGGCUAAAGAGAGUAGGGACUUAACUUCCAUUAAGACUCCUUUGGAUUUAAUGAGGAUAUGUACCUUAUCUCAAGGUGCAAUCAAUUCAAUGGUUCAUAUGUAAAAUGCUAUGAACCAAAUAUUGAAAGAAUUUAUUCCUAAAAAAACCAUACCAUUUUUGGAUGAUAUACCUAUAAAGGGACAUAAAGAAGAAGACAAGGAUGAGACUAUGGAGGUUGAAGUUUGUAGAAAGUUUGUUAAGACGCAUAUUGAAGAUGUGGCUCAAAUAUUGGAGAGAUUGGAAUCAGUUAAUCUCACGUUAUCUUUGGAAAAAUCAAGCUUUCGAGUUGAUGAGAUUCUAGUGGUGGGACAUAUGUGUAGCAGGUAUCGUAGGAAAUCAAAUCCUGAUAAAAUUGAUGCUAUAUCUAGAAUGAAGGCUUGUAAAAUUGUUACAAAAGCUAGAAGGUUUUUAGGAGCAUGUGUAUUCUAUCAUAUUUGGGUGCCUUACUUUGCGCAUAUCUCAGAGCCACUAUAUAAAUUAUUAAGAAAGGAUAAAAGUUUUAUUUGGGAAGAAGAACAAAAAAUAGCUAUGGAAAAUCUAAAAAAGAUGUUGAGUUCACCACCUAUGCUUAGAUAAGUAGAUUAUCAAUGGAGAAGACCAAUGGUUGUAAUAGUAGACACAAGCCCUAUAUGAAUUGGAUGGGCUAUUGGACAAGAUGAUGUAGAAGGGAGAAGAUUUGCUAUAAGGUUUUGAGCUAGAAUUCUUACAAAGAGGCAAGAGGCUUAUCCACAAGUUAAAAGAGAGCUUUUGGGAGCACUCACUGCUUUAAUGGUUGAGAAGAAUUACUUAAUUGGAGUAAGUAUGGUUUUGGAAAUAGAUUGUUUGCCAUUACUUAGAAUGAUAAUUAACUUUACUACUCCAGAUAUUGCCAUGUUAAGAUGGAUAGUCUACAUAAGAACAUUGAAUCCUGUUUUAGUAUAUAUCACUAGCAAAGAAAAAUUGGUGGCGGAUAUGUCGUCUAGAGCUAGAUAUACCUUCAAAGAGGAAAUGAUGGCACACGAAGGAGGUAAAGAUCAAGAAGAGAAGAAUUAUGGAAAUUCAUUUGAUACUGGUGGAAUGGAUUUUGGUGAUAAGAUUCAAAAAUUCUAUGAAGGUUUCUAUGAAGGCAGAUUGAAGGAUAUUGAAAUUUAUUUAAGUACAAUGAAGAAACAAGAAGGGUCGAUGGAUAAAACCUUCAAAGAUAUUAGACAUCAAUCCUAUGGUUAUUUGCUUAGAGAUAGAUUCCUAUGGAAGAGGCCAAAAAAAAGAGAUAAAAUCCCAUUGAAGAUAGUAGGAGAUUUUGAAACUAAGUUUAAGAUUUUAAGAGAAUAUCAUAAUAUACUUUGGAUAGGACACAGGGGAGUUUGGGCUACAUAUACCAAGAUCAAGGAAAGGUAUUAGUAAAAGGGUUUAUACAGGGAUGUAGAAGACUUUGUGAGCUCCUGCAUAGAGUGUCAACUACAAUCUAGAGUUAAGUACAGAGAUGGAUUACAUCCUACUUAUCCACCUUCAAUACAUUUUCAAUGGGUGAUUGAUUUGGUAGCUAUGCCAUUAGGACUUUGAAGUAUAAAAUAUUUAGUUUUGGCAAGAGAAGAGCUAUCAAAUUAUGUUGAAGGGAGGGCUUUGAAAACCAAGACUACAAAAGUAAUAUGCAAAUUUAUAUUGGAAGACAUCUUUAGUAGAUAUGGUAGCAUUGGGAGGAUGAGAGCUGAUAGAGGAGAAUUGGAUGCUGUUGAAGCAAGAGAAUUUUCAACAAGUAUAAAGUUCAAUUGAAGUUGACUACUUCUUAUAAUCUUGAAGCCAAUGGAAAGAGUGAGAGGGGUCAUCCUCCUAUCAUUUAUGCAUUGGUUAAGGCAUGUAAAGGUAAGUCAAUUCAAUGGCCUAAACUGCUUCUAUUUGCUUUAUGGGCUGAUAGAACUACUCACAGUACUGUCACUAAUUAUAUGCCCAUGGAAUUAAUAUUAGGACAAAAACCUAUGAUGCCAGUUGAAGAAACUUAACCUACAUGGAUGUUUUUAUCUUCAAAAGAUGAUAUAAAUAGAGAAAGAUUAUUAGAGGUUCGAAUCCAACAAUUGGGUAGGUUACUUGAAGACCUAUAAAUUACAGCUGAGAGGUUCAAGAAAGUAAAGAUUGAAAAAUAAAGAAAGAUUUGAUAAGACUCAUAAGUUGAGAUCUAAGCCUAUAGAGAUUAGAGACUGGGUUUUAGUUUAUGAUAGCAGCCUUGAGCAUCUACAUAGCACUUUAAAGAAAUUUACAAAAAAAUAGUUUGGACCAUAUGUGGUGAUAACAGUACAUGUGUCAAGGACAAAGACUCGAUGAGGGAAAAUAUACACAAAAAAGCUAUCUCGAUAUAAUAAGUCAAAAUAUAAACAAGUAGGUAUAUUAAAAGGAAACUGGAAUGGCUAUUGCCACAAGACAAGAAACUAAAGACUCUUGAACCUGGACUAGAAGCAAGAAAGGAGUUGACAAGAGUGAAGAAGCCUUCACUCUUGUCUCUAUAUAUACUAUCUAACUAAGGGCUACGUGGCGACGUUCUAUAGGACCUCCAAUAUGUGUUGACUUUGUAGGACACAUUCCUUGACUUACAAGGCAAGUUUUUCUACGUGUGGGCGACAUAAUUAGCUUGAUCUUCAAGCUAACAACAUGUGUGGCACAUGGCCAACUUGUUGACCACGUUUCUAAUCCAAAAAGUCAAUUAAAGACACCUAUGAAGUCAAAGCAGCGUCUAAGAAGUUUCUAGGAAGCUUCUAUAUUAAAUAUUAUAGAAUUAACUUACUUUUAUCUACUUUUACUUACUUCUACCUAUUUCUAUAUGUAAUUAUUAGCUUACAUGAUUAUGGCCGUGACAACAUGAUAAUGCCACAUAUACUUUACGUGAGUUAGAUGGAACUAUCAUAAGGAAUCCAAUAGCUGAAAACUUUCAAGAAAAGAGAUGGAUUAUUUCAAAUAGAAGACCUUUAAGAAUUCUUACUUCAAUAUUUAGACCAAGAAGAUGAAGAAAAAGAGCCUAUGAGUAAUUCAAAGAAAUCUCAAGAAGAUGAAGAAGAGUAACAUGUAGCACAUAGUGGAGGAUGUGCAAGUUUGGAGGGGGUGGAUGUCGUAUUGUAAAUGCUUACAAUAUGUAAAAAUUAGUUAGAAAAUAUUAUAUGUUAAUAAAUCUAGAUGUGUGUUAGAGUGGCUAGUAGAUUAAAUUAAAAGGAGUUGAUAUAAGAAACUUUACUUUGUUUCUUUACUUGUUUUGAUUUUGACAUUAAAAAAAUAUAUAUAUAUAUAAGACCUAAAUGUUUAGUAUGAAGCCUUGGGAGAAGGUGGAAGCCUAAGGAUGAAAAUCUAAACUAAUAGGAGGCUAAUUGGGAGGGAUGAAAGUAAGGCAUGGUCGGAUGAAGAUAAGGAAUGGAGAACUUCAUCCCUAUUGGUCGAAUACCAUGUCCAAUGGACUUUGAAGAGGUUGCUCGUAACCUUAAGAAGGGUUUCGGUGACUUCAAAGAGAGCAUUCGGAGAAAAUAAGCUGGGAUUGUAAAGUUUAAGAUUUGAGGUAAAAUUUGUGUGCAAAAAUUAGAGGAUUUGGAAUUAGGGUGAAAAAUUAUAGCCGUUUGAAGUUAAGAUGUUUAUUUAAGAUAUAUUGUCUCUUUUGAGAGUACGAGGAGUUUUACAGCAGCUUUUGAAGAUCGAAAGGUGCGACUGGAAUGGUGAUUUUAAGACCUACAUCUUUUAUGAAAGAAUUAUUGCUUUUGGAAUUCAUAUGAAAGAGUUGUAAGGAGUUGAAGGCGGCACUUCCAAAUCAAAGGCAGUAAGUAAGCGGUUUUGUUUGUAGUAAUAGUUGGAGCCCUAACUUGAGUUUUUUGACAAAUUUUUGGCUCAAACUUAUUGGAGAAUGUAAAAUUUUGUGUUAAAAAGCUAUACAUACAAAUUUCGUGGCAUUUGAGCUUAUAUUUUGUGAGAUAUGAAGAAAAUUGCAUGCAAGUAUAUAAAGAGAAGGAUUUGAAGCGACUGUUAGGGUUUUCAAGAUAUCUCAAGAUGUGCAACGAAUUUAUAGUUGAAAUUUGUUGUAGAAGUUAAUAAGAAUAUAUAAAUACCUCAUGUAAAAUUUGAGUUUGUUUGGAUGGUCGGAUUAGGAAAUAUAAGGUGUUGAAGUUUAGAAAAAUCUCCACACAAGAAUAAACAAGGUUUUAGAAGAUUUUAUCAUAUUUUGGAAGUUGUGGGUUACUUGAGGAUUGUGUAUUUGGUGUAAUUAUUCAAAAAGGAAAAAUUAUAUAUAAACUUAGGGCUUCCCUUAUUUUCAAGCUUGAUCGAAUAAUAAGUGACAGCCAGAAGCCCAACGUUAUCUUGAGGCAAACUCUCUCUACUCCGAUAACCUGUGUAGCCAAUAAUGGCAGAACUGAAGAUAUUUGGUUAAGAUGGCUACUAAUGACAUUGAAAGACACAGUGUUUGAGUAGUAUAACUGCCGACCUGUGGGACAAUUUAUCAAUUAGGAGGCAUUGAAAAAUACAUUUUUAGUCCAUUUUUGACCAAUUGGUUUUGAAGAACGUCUUAGAGAAAAAUUAAUGAACAACAGAAUGGUACCAAGGGAAGCGGUAUAGUCAUAUUAUGGUCAUGUAGCAGAUAUACUUCGAAAAUGGCCAAAUAACCCAAAUGCCGAAAUCGUUUGUAUUGUCUGUAUUGGUUAAUGGACUACAUCCACCAGAAUUGAAGAUGUUUGUAAAGGAGGCCCAAUCAGCCACCAUUGCAUCAUCUCUUGAGCGAGCAAAAGUAUGGGAGGAAUGUCACUAUGAUCAGAACUUAACAGUUGGAGCCACAAUGAUUCCAUCUCAAGGAGGUUAUCAAAUGACAAAUUGCAAUGAUGCAUCGAAAAGUUAUUUGGGAAGGAAUGAUUAUGGUACAAUUCCAGAGGGAACAGUAGAUGUUGUCCCAUUGCAGGCUGUACCACCAUCAUCAUCACCCAUAUGCGCCUUAUUCUGCAUAUCAAAAACCAAUACCUAUGAAAGAAUUACCAAAUGCAUUGGUAUCAAGGGAUCCCAAUGAAUCAUUGCUAUUAAUAUUGACAAAAAAAAUGGAUGAAUUGGCUGUGAAUUUGGCCAAGGAUAAAGAAAAAAAGGCAUAAACCAACCAACAUGCGUCCCAAUGUCUGGUAUAGCAAUUGUAAGGGACAAGGUCAUUUAGUAAUAGAAUGUUCUUCACUACCCCAAAUGACUAUAUUAUGUACCUUUUGCGGAGGCAAGCAUAUUACCACCAACUGUUGGAAUUUAGGAAAACAACAAUAACUCAGUAACCAGAUAAUGACUCAACCAACUUCGUAGGAUGUCAAUCAAGUACAAACGAAUAAUAGGUUUGGCUAGAAUAGAAAUCGAGCAAAUAAAAAAACAAGAAUUAUUCUAAUUUCUUAAACUCUAAAUUUCACCAAGAAAGUGUAUCCAAUACUCACAAAUUGGCGAUGAACUAAGCAGGAUACCAUCAAUAUCCAUCCAUGACGAAGCCAAUGCCACAAUCUACAGUAACAAUGGAUCAACUAGGAUCUUUUAUUCAUCCGACAUGGAACAGACCUAGCCAUUAUAUAUUAGUAGAGACACCCAAUAUCCGUGAAGGAGUUGGCAGAAAACCACUUCGUUGCUAUUGUUGCAGAAAAAUCAAACAUUGUGCAAGUAAAUGUCUUAAUUCAAGGGCCAGUGAUGACUAUACUCCAAUAUGUGGAAAUUGUAAGCAGCGUGGUCACACUUAUCAGUAGUGCAAUAUGCCUUUUAAUUAUAAUAAUCGGAACCAACAAAUGUAAACAAGCCAACCAACGGAGGAUAAAGGUCUUGUUCAACGAGACUCACCAGUAUAUCAUGUUGAGGUGGUGAACGUAGUGCUUACUAGAGGCCAACAAAAAGACAAGAAUCUAAUUCAGGACUUGGAUGAACCAAUCGUAGGAGAGCAAGUAGUACCAUCCAUGGAGCUAAACGAACCAAUAUCAGUAUUGGGACGCAUCCCAAUAUUGAGAUUUCAACAGACUGUGGAACCCAAUUCGGUUCCAUGUGCCAAUUUUUCGAGACCAUCAAGAAUGAUCUCAAGUGACCAACUACCAAUACCUGUACAGCCCAAUAAAAGAUCUUACGCAUUAAACGAACCUUUAGUAGUAGAAAAGUUGGCGAUAUUACCAACGGCAAUCUCAAUCGCAAGGAAGGAAGUGCUGCCAAACGGAAUAAAAUUGAAACCAAUGAAACUCAAAAGAGCAUUGAAAAUUACUCUCAAUAUGGAACCCUACGACAUUCUGAAGGAUUUGGAUGUUAUUCAGCCUUCAAUUAUAAUAAAGCAACUUUUGGCUGUAGCACCGGAAUAUGGAUCUACAUUGAAUUCAGUGCUAAUAUGACGAAGAUUCCACACUAAAGAAAUUCAUGAAAUUAGCUUAAACCCAGAUCCGGGAGCACCAACAAUCAAUGUAUCAAUCGAUGGCAUUUUAAUUCCAGGGGUAUAAGUCAAUGGUGGCUCCAGUGUGAAUUUAAUGAACGCUCUCCUGUUGUAACACGUCUAUAUGAUGAAAAUAUAAAUGAAGAAGAUUUAUUAAUAUUUAGUCACCUUAAAUGUUAGAAGCAACGGCCAAUUCCAGAGCAAAUAUUGAGAGGCCAGGUUCAGUUACCCCGUUAUGGUCAACCGGGGCAUACUCACCAAUAACGAUAUGCUCCAUUCGAUUUCAGUAACGGAAGUCAGCAGGAAAGAAAAGGACCAAUUUAACGUCGGGUGAGCCUGGUUUGAAGAGCCAAUUGGAUCCAAUUUCAGAAGAUAUCUAAUCUAGGUCCUAUUACGGGCCUCUUACCUAAUAUGAGACCUGACUUGGUCGGGCAACCCAAUGCGGUCCAAUUACACGGCUUCGAUUCCAUUUCAGGUAGUUUUGUUCUUUGUGCCAUUCCAAAAACGUCCUUUCUGUAAAAGAAUCUCUUAAAGGUAAAAAUGGAGGAGAAAAAGCGAGGUCGGCUGUUCCAAUUUGGGGAGUCUAAGGUGAAAGAAUAGGAUCUUCUCAGGGUAAAAGGGGAGGAUAGGUUAAGAAAUGGAUUUUUUGAGAAUCGGAGGUUUUAGGUUGAAGAGCUAGCUUCAUGCUUUCGAAAAAAGACAGAAAUUGGGGUUUUUUUUUAUAGGAUUUUGGAGAGACUGAGAGGAUGGUUGUUGAAAGUCAGUGUUAUAUUGGUGAACUGGAUUUUUUUCGGAAGGGAGAAAAGGCUGGUACUCUUGAUUGUUGAUGGAAUGGGAGAUACUUCUGUGGUUGAAAUUCAAAGUUGUCUAGAAGGUUGAGUAUGCUGAAUGUAUGCGUGGUUGUAUUAAUCUAACUGUACGGAUAGAGGAUAUCUGCCAACAGUUUAAAGAGGUAUUGGAAGUUAGAAAAUUGGGGGUUGUUUAGGAUUUCUGUGAUAACUGGGGACCUACCGACAGAGAUAAGAAGAAUAUCGGCGAGCGGCCAAGGAACAUCGGUGCGGAUUGCAGCAUAGCCUCACAAUCUGUAAGUGGGUUUGAACUGGAACUUCUUAAGCAUUCGAAAGGGCUUGCAGAGACACUAGCAAUAGAUGUUUCACAACAAGUCGGAAGGACAGAUUGAGGAUCACAGCUUGCCAAAGUUCACGGUCUAGGAUUAAAGUAAUUAACGAUAAAGAUAAAAUAAAAAACAUAAAAUAAAUAAAAUAAAAUAAAAAUAACAAAAGAAAUUGAAGUUAUAUAGGGUCUCUAGGCGUUUUAUAUUGAAAUUAAGCUUUUACAUUGUAAUCUGAUAUAGAUUGUAUUUGGGUAGUAAUGAACCCGAUAGACUCCUUGAGUACUAGCGAAACACCAUACUACCUCCUACAGUCAGACGUCCGACACGUUCUCAAGCAAGAUAAUACAUAAUACGACAUAAGUGGUGAAUCCAACGUGAAAGCUUGAGGUGGAAGGUAUUGGAUUUCGUUUGAUUUUAUUUUUGUUUUUAUGGAAAACGAAAAUAAAAAUUUUGAAGGAUCUUUGGGAGGAGUUUCUGGUGGGGGUUCUUCUAAAGGACAAGAUAUGCACAUGGAUCUGUCUAUUGCUACUAUGUUUCAAGCCUUCUCAUUAUCAAUGGAGCAACAACAAAGCAAUGAUCAAAAAGAAGCUUUGGCAACCAAAGCAUUGCAAGCAGUGGUCAAUAAAAUUGAUCAAUUUGAUGGAAGGAAUAUUUCAAGGUAUUUAAGAUGUUAUGUUCGUGAAAUGGAAUUAAAUUGGGUUUCUGAGAAGAAAAUGGUUGAAUUAUUUGGACUUGCCACGAUACCGGAGAUAAGAGACCAUAUUACAUCGAUUACGGAUCAUUAUGGGAAUUCAUGGGAGGUUUUUUCACAUGCAUUGAGAGACUAAUAUUUCUUGAAAGAUGUUGAUCGCAUUACUAAAAAGCUGUUUCUGGAAUGGAUUGAACGGCUUAAUAAGAAUUUGCAAGCAAUAGAACUACUAAGAAAAUUUGAAAGGCAGUACUCUCAAUUAUCGAAGGUAGAAAAAUUAACAUUAGAGCCGAACAAAGUUGAUCUAUUUCUUCAAGCUCUUGAUGGAGAAUUGCAAGAGAAAUUGGAAUUCCUUCUUGAAGACAAAGAAGAAGAUGAAGGAUUGACUACAAAGUAGAAGAACGUUGAAGAUGCAGUGGGGUUGCUUGCAAAAAGAGAAAAGAGAAAGGAUAGGAGCAAUAUUCCAAAAAUAAUACAAGCACCCAAAACUCUAGUACGUACAACACCACCAACAAUGCCUAUAGUUCAACCUUCGACAUCCUUAUAAAAGAAAGCAGAUAUGGGGAUGGAAGAAAUUAUACGAGGAAUGUGAGAUCUUCAAAUCAAAUUGGCAAGACUUGAAGAGAAUACUUCUACAAAUAAUUUGAAGAAUGUUUCAAAACAAGGAUAUGUACAAAGAUGCAUUUGGUGUGAUGAUGCUUCAUACACUAGGAAAGAUUGCAAUGAAUUUAAUAAUAUGAUACGGCAAGGAAUUAUUUGCUGGAAAGAUGGGAAGAUAGCAUUAAGAAAUAGGGAGGAUCUUCUUCAAACCAAUUUUGGCAAGGGAAGAAUGAGAGCAUUGGUUCAAGUUUACCUAAAAGAGCAUGAAACAGCAGCACGAGAAAGUGCAAGUUAUGGUGCUAGAGUAGAUGAUGACCUUAGUAGAAGUACGGAAACUAGUGAGUUUUGGGCUUCUACCAUUUCUACAAUACAAGAAGAGAAAUUACCUCGAGAAGCGUUAUUGAGGACUGCAGCUACAAUACGAGGUGCAACAGGUUGGGGGGAUUCUGUUGAGUCUCUUUCAGUUCAUGCAUAUAUUGCUAAGAGCCAACAUGAAGCUUUGAUGGAAGAAAAGAGACGAGGAAAUUUUGAUGAUACUAGAGGAGGAAAUUCUUCUAAGAGGCAAACUCGAGGAGACAAGGCUCGGGAGGCAGCUUCACAAGAAUUACCUGUAAAGGAUACCUCAGCAUCAUUGGGAGAAAAAACAAAGGAGACAAAAGAUAAGGGCAAAUCAAUUGCUUAUAAGCUACUUUCUGACAUUGAAGCGGCAACAAAUUUGAAAGGGAUGUUGGAAGAACGUAUAUUAAACGCUAAGGUAGAAUUCACAUUGAAAGAAGUUUUGGGAAUUACAAAGAAAGAGUUUCAUGAUGUUAUCAUUGACAGCAUUAAGCGAAAGAGGCAAUUAAUGGGCAAAACUAGAAUGAGUCAUGCCAUUGAUGCAAAAAUAUAUAAAGAUGAAGAAGAGGUUGAUAUUGGUUACAAGCAAUCAACAAAUGAAAAGAAUGGGUAUAAUCAACAAGUACAUUUCAAAGAUUAUAGUGAUAAGGAAAUGGAAACUUUGAGCCAUUAUACUCGAAAGUAUUGGGUAAGGGUAACUACUGAGGUAUUGGUGAAAGUAGAAGAUAUAGAAGAACCAAUUGUUGCUUUAGUCGACUAUGGUUCUGAAAUAAAUCUUAUGUCUAAAGAUCUUUAUAAGAAGCAAAAAUGGCCAAUUGAUAUGGAACAUGGAUGGGCAAUACGAGCAACUAAUAACACCUGGGACGAAUUAUAUGGAGCUUGUUCAGAUGUCAAAAUUUGGAUUGGAGAUGUUGCGAUGGAACAACAUUUUUUUGUUUAAGAUAUAACGUCUUAUCCGUUGAUUUUAGGACAACCUUAUAUUACGGCAACACGGAUGGAAACAAAAGUACUUGACAAUGGUUCUGCUUAUGCAAGGGUACAUAACGAAGAUGAGAGGAAAGCUAUACAAUUUCUAACAAUAUCUCCUAACCAUGAACGGAAUCCAGAUAGGUUGAAGGAGAAACCAUUGCCAAAGAUUGUUGAAGGAUUUAAGGAUUUUCGGGAGGUACCACUAUAAAGCGAGAUUAUGGAGGUACAAAAGAAGAGGUACUCUCACGAGAUGAAGGUGCCUUUGAUGCGAGUUUUAUUGGUAUUUUGGAGAAUGGAAAUAUUAUGUAUAAGAAAGUUGAUGAUUUUAAAAGAAAAGAAAGAAAAAGAUUAUAUAAUAUUGAAGGAGAAUUAUGCAAGUUAGGUACAUUGCAAGAUGAUGAGAGGAUUUUAGGUAUUUAUGAAGAAAAUGGACUGGAAGAUUCAUUGGAAUUGAUUACAUCUAUUAGGUUAGGGGAUAAUGAUAAGAUUGUUGAGAUUCAUUCAAGAGAGGUUUAUACCAUACUUGAAUCUUUUCAAGUACCAGAAGUCACUAUAGAGACGAGAUAUAAAAAGGCAGAUAAGAAGGUAAAGCCUGUUGCCGGACCAUUACCAGAAGAUUGUAAGGAACAAAUAGGAGAAGCAUCAAAAGAAGGAAGUUUAAGAGAUCCAAUGAGUAUUAGACAUCAGUUUAUUAAAGAGACUUUUGAAGAAUUGAAGAUUGGUUCUGAUGGUUCUUUAUUGCCGGAGGAAAUUACUUGCUUCAAAAAGAUGUUGACUAAAUAAGGUAGAUCAUUUGCUUUCGACUCUUAUGAAAUUGGGUGUGUGGAUCCGAAUAUUAUAACACCUAUGGUUAUCUUCACUAUAACAUAUGUACCUUAGAAUCUAAGACUAAUUCUAAUAUCGAGGGCACAUUUACCUAAAUUAGUGGAAAUAUUAAAAUAAAAGAUGAAGAUGAAAUAUUGAAACUCUCAUUUGUGCCGUAUUCUAGUCGAUGGUUUAUGGUACCUAAGAAGAAUGGGUCACUAUGGUUUAUUCAAGAUAUGCAACUGGUGAGUGUAGUAACUGUCAGAAAUGCAGGAAUUGGAUCUAUUGUAGAUGAAUUUGCAGAGGCAUUUGCUGGAAGGGUGAUCUAUUCAAUGCGUGACUUGUAUUCAGGUUAUGAUCAAUUUCAACUUCUCGAAGGAAGUAGAGAUGUGACAACGAUGAGGACACUACUUGGAUUGGUUAGAAUGUGCACUAUUUCUCAAGGCGCGACCAAUUCAAUUGCGCAUAUGAUGAAUGGGAUGAAUAAGGUAUUGAGAGAUUUUAUUCCGGAGAAGACUAUGCCUUUUUUGGAUGAUGUUCUUAUAAAAGGAUGUAGAGAAGGAGACAAGGAUGAAACUUUAGAUAAAAGGGGAUGUUGCAAAUAUGUUGUUGAUCAUAUACAAGAUUGUGAAAAGAUUUUAACUCGGUCUGGAGAAGUUCAUCUUACAUUAUCGGAUAUGAAGUCUUUAUUUGGAGUACAAGAGGUUGUGAUUGUUAGACAUUUAUGUGGAUCUUACGGAAGAAAACCAGAUUCGACUAAAGUUGAUACAAUUGGAAGGAUGAAAGAGGAUUGUGAUUCUUUAACAGAGGUUCGCAGGUUUUUAGAUGCAUGUAUAUUUUAUCGAAUUUGGAUCCCUCAUUAUGCUCACAUAGCGGAUCCAUUAUAUGAAUUGUUACGCAAGGGCUACCGAUUUAAAUGGAAAGAAAGGCAUAUUUAGGUAAUUCAAAGAUUGAAGAAAUUAUUGAUGUCACCUCCAAUAUUGAGGAAGGUUGAUUAUAAGUGCAAUAUACUAGUGAUUCUUACUGUAGACACUAGUCCAAUUGCCAUUGGAUGGGCUGUGGGUCAAGAUGAUUCAAGUGGGAAUAGAUUUGUAGUUUGAUUUGGACCUAAAGUUUUAAGUACUCGUCAGCGUAUAUAUUUGUAAGUCAAAAGAGAACUUUGGGGAGUUGUUUCGGCUAUGAAAGCUGAAAAGGACUAUUUGAUUUUGGCAGUAGUAGUAAUUGAAACAAAUUGCUUGCCAUUGCUUGAAAUGAUUACUAACUGUUCAACGCCAGAUAUUGCAAUGUUGAGAUGGAUUGCUUAUAUUAAGUCACUAAAUCCAGAAUUUAAGCAUAUUACUAGGAAAGAUAAUUUAGUAGCAGACAUGCUAUCUUAAGCAAGAUACGAGAGGGAGGACAAAAUGGUUGAAGACAUUGAUGACGUCAGAUUGAAAUUCUAUUCAAUAUCAAAUCUCAACAGAGAAGACAAGCUAUUUCUUGAAGAAUCUUAUGAAGGAGAAUUAUUGGAUAUUGGUCAUUACUUGAAUACCUUAACUAAGCAGGAGAAUUGAUCUACAGAAAAAUUCAAACAAAUAAGAAAAAAAGCAUAUAGAUUUUUGCUUCGAGAUGGAUUCUUAUGGAAGAGAUCGAAGAAAGGAAUUGAGAUGCUACAACGAGUGAUAGGCAAAAAGGAAGAAAAACUAAAAUUAUUAAAGGAGUUUCAUGAUAGUUUAUGGGUAGGGCAUAGAGGAAUCUGGGCUACUUUUGCUAAACUCAAGGAAUGAUAUUGGUGGAAAAAUAUGUAUCGAGAUGUGCUCUCAUUUGUAAAGUCAUGUGAAAUCUGUCAAUCGUAUUCUAAUAUCCGACAUCGAGAUGGUCUUCAUCCUACGUAUCCUCUAGCUAUUCAUUUUAAAUGGGUUGUUGAUUUGGUUAUUAUGCCAGUUGGAUUCUGGCAGAUGAAAUAUUUUGUCUUAGCUCGUGAAGAUUUAUCAAAUCAAGUAGAAGGAAGAGCAUUGAGGACAAAAUCUACAGAGGAGAUUUAUAGGUUUUUGCUUGAAGAUGUCAUUUGCCGCUACGGAUGCAUAGGAAAAAUCACUACUGAUCAUGGAGAAUUAAAUGCACAAAAAGCUCAUAAGUUCUUUGAAAGAUGUGGAAUUAAACUAUCACUGACUACUACUUAUAAUCCAGAAGGGAAUGCAAACAGUGAACGUGGUCACCCACCGAUUGUGAAAGCAUUAGUUAAAGCUUGUAAUGGGAAAGUUAGAGAGUGGCCACGGCUUUUGUCAUUUGCAUUAUGGGCUGAUCGAACAACACAUAGUUCGGUGACAGGAUAUAUGCCAGUAGAACUUAUGACAAGUCGAAAACCAAUUAUGUUGAUUGAAGAAAAGAUACUUACUUGGAGUAUGCUACCACAGGAAGAUGGAUUGACAAGAAAAGAACUUCUGGCUAUUAGGAUUCGACAAUUGGAGCAAAGAUCGGAAGAUGUGCAGAUAGCAUUAGAAAGGUUAAAAAGAGCAAGGUUACAAAAUAAGGAACAAUUUGAUAAGCAACGUCGAUUGAGACCUAAAGCAAUUGAAGAAGGUGAUUGGAUACUUGUUUAUGAUAGUAGUUUGGACAACGAAUAUAGCACUUUACGAAAGUUUUCAAAACGUUGAUUUGGACCGUAUAUAAUAACAACUGUUCAUGAUAAUGCGACUUACUCAUUGCAGGAGUUAGAUGGCACAAGGUUAAAAAUACCAAUUACAGGAAAGAGAUUGAAAUUGUUUAAACAAAGAUAUGUAGAAAUAAAUAUAGAAGACCUUAAUGAAGACAUAGAUAUUCCGUAGUGAGAAGAUGAAAUUGACUGGAUAGCAGAGACAAUGAAGAUAGACUAGACAAAGAUUUGGAGAACAUAUUAUGAAUCAAACGGCAACUAGGUUAAUUGUUGCAUAUCGGAGGAUGCACACGUUCAGAGGGGCUGGAUGUCGUGUUGUAACACGUCUAUAUGAUGAAAAUAUAAAUGAAGAAGAUUUAUUAAUAUUUAGUCACCUUGGAUGUUAGAAGCGACAGCCAAUUCCAGUGCAAAUAUUGAGAGGUCAGGUUCAGUUACCCCGUUAUAGUCAGCCGGGGCAUACUCACCAAUAACGAAAUACUCCGUUCGAUUUCAGUAACGGAAGUCAGCAGGAAGGGAAAGGACCAAUUCAACGUCGGGUGAGCUUGGUUCCAAGAGCCAAUUGGAUCCAAUUUCAGAAGACAUCUAAUCUAGGUCCUAUUACGGGCCUCUUACCUAAUAUGAGACCUGACUUGGUCGGGCAACCCAAUGCGGUCCAAUUACACGGCUUCGAUUCCAUUUCAGGCAGUUUCAUUCUUUGUGCCAUUCCAAAAACGUCCUUUCUGUAAAAGAAUCUCUUAUAGGUAAAAAUAGAGGAGAAAAACCGAGGUCGGCUGUUCCAAUUUGGGGAGUCUAAGGCGAAAGAAUAGGAUCUUCUCAGGGUAAAAGGGGAGGAUAGGUUAAGAAAUGGAUUUUUUGAGAAUCGGAGGUUUUAGGUCGAAGAGCUAGCUUCAUGUUUUCGAAAAAAGACAGAAAUUGGGGUUUUUUUUAUAUAGGAUUUUGGAGAGACUGAGAGGAUGGUUGUUGAAAGUCAGUGUUAUAUUGGUGAACUGGAUUUUUUUCGGAAGGGAGAAAAGGCUGGUACUCUUGAUUGUUGAUGGAAUGGGAGAUACUUCUGUGGUUGAAAUUCAAAGUUGUCUAGAAGGUUGAGUAUGCUGAAUGUAUGCGUGGUUGUAUUAAUCUAACUGUACGGAUAGAGGAUAUCUACCAACAGUUUAAAGAGGUAUUAGAAGUUAGAAAAUUGGGGGUUGUUUAGGAUUUCUGUGAUAACUAGGGACCUACCGACAGAGAUAAGAGGAAUAUCGGCGAGCGGCCAAGGAACAUCGGUGCGGAUUGCAGCAUAGCCUCACAAUUUGUAAGUGGGUUUGAACUGGAACUUCUUAAGCAUUCGAAAGGGCUUGCAGAGACACUAGCCAUAGAUGUUUCACAACAAGUCGGAAGGACAGAUUGAGGAUCACAGCUUGCCAAAGUUCACGGUCUAGGAUUAAGGUAAUUAACAAUAAAGAUAAAAUAAAAAACAUAAAAUAAAUAAAAUAAAAUAAAAAUAACAAAAGAGAUUGAAGUUAUAUAGGGUCUCUAGGUAUUUUAUAUUGGAAUUAAGCUUUUACAUCGCAAUCCGAUAUAGAUUGUAUUUGGGUAGUCAAGAACCCGAUAGACUGCUUGAGUACUAGCGAAACACCAUACUACCUCCUACAUCCAGAUGCCUGGCUCAUUCUCAAGCAAGAUAGCACGUAAUAUGACAAUGCGGAUACAAUGGAGGACUUGGAUCUAAAGCAAUUGCUACCUAUGACAUUGGUCUUGCAUAUGGCAGAUCAUAGUCGGAUAAAACUAAUAAGAAUCUUACGUAAUAUUGCCAUUGUAAUCGUGAGAUUGACAUACAAAAUUGAUUAUAUUGUAUUCCAAUUACAAAGUUGUACAUUAUCGUAUCCCAUUUUAUUGAGCAAACCUUGACUUUAUCAAGCCAAAGCUAAGAACGAUUGGGGCCAAGGCAUAUUGAUAAUUGGAAUAGGCCGAGACCAGAUUGUUCUACAAAUAUACCCGGUACAAUACCAUGAAAAAUCUCAAUUGCCACAAUCAGAAUUUACAUCGGACAACAGGAGUCAAUCGAUUAAAGAAGAUGACGAUACUAUAGAUUCAUCGCAAUUUGGGGUAGGACAAAACACUUCAACAGCAAAGGCAGGAGUCUAUCAAUGUGGAGGUCAUGACAAAUAUUUAUUGCAUUAAGAGGAUGUGACUAACUUAGAUCAUGCUAUUGCCGAAUGGAUGAACGAUUUCGCAGUCAAUAUAGUCAACACAUUGGAACCAGAUUUGGGUGGUUUUUAUAUGUCGAAUAAUACAAGAUAUUCAGAUCAAGAGAAGACAAUGAAAUCAGAGGUUGUUGAAGAUCCUGUGUAUCAAUCUAUUAACCUGGGUACCAACGAAAUGCCACAGCUAAUUAAAAUAUAUGCUUGUAUUAUAGGUACAGAAUUAGAUGCUUAGAAACAGUUUUUUGUCGAUUACAAAUCUACCUUUGCGUGGUUGUAUGCGGAUUUGAAAGGGAUUCCAGUCGACAUGUGUGAGCAUCAAAUUAUUUUGGAGGAGGGUGUUAUGCCAGUUCGUUAAAGACAACACCUACUUAACUCAAAAUAUUCUCUUUUAGCAUAAGAAGAAUUGGAUAAACUUCUCGACGUGGUUUUAUAUAUUCUGUUCUGUAUAGUACAUGGGUGUCACUAAUCAUGAUGGUAUCGAAGAAGAAUAGAAAAAUCAGAAUAUGUCAAGAUUUUUGAAAAUUAAAUGCAGCUACUAAGAAGAAUUAUUUUCUGUUACUAUUUAUAGAUAGUAUUUUGGAUGUAGUGGCCGAACAUGAAUGUUACUCAUUUUUGGAUGGAUUUUCGGGAUAUAAUCAAAUUAAAAUUGUGAAAGAAGACUUGUUGAAGACUAUGUUUACUACAGAUUGGGAUACAUUUGCCUAUAAAGUAAUGCCAUUUGGAUUAUGUAAUGCCCCAGCUACUUUUCAACGGAUAAUGACAUAAGCAUUUCAAGAUUACCUACGUUUAUCAAUAGAGAUAUUUUUGGACGAUUUCUGCACCUUUAGCACAACGGCUAAAUAUCUAACAUGCCUAGAUAACUAUUUGAAUCAAUGCGACAAGUAUGGGAUAUCUCUAAUUUUGGAGAAGUGUCAAUUUGGCGUACCAUCGGGAAAGCUAUUGAGACACAUUGUAUCUGUUGAAGGUAUCGCUUUGAACCCUGAUAAAAUUACUCAUAUAUUGGAUUUAUCAAAGCUAGAUACGGUAUCGAGCAUGUGUGGUUUCAUCGGCCAUGUUAGCUACUAUCCACGUUUUAUUGAAUUCUUUGUGAUUAUCUAUCAACCGUUAAUCCAAUCAUUAAAGAAACCCCCAUCACACGAAUCUAGUCCAAUAUGGACUGAAGACUGUACUUUUGCAUUCGACGAAUUGAAAUAGAAAUUGGUAUCUGCUUCAAUUCUUGUAACACCUUGUUGGACAAAACCAUUUCAUGUCUAUGAGGAUGCAUCCAAUGUUGCUAUGGGAUCCAUUCUCAGUCAAAAGGAUGAAAAAUGAUUAGAUCAUCCCAUAUAUUAUGCAAGCUGAUAAUUCGUUGCUGCAGAAUAAAAUUAUCAUACUACCAAGCGAGAAGCCCACGGAAUGAUCUACUCUAUACAGAAAUUCUACCACUAUUUACUUAGAUACCCAUUUGUGUUCUACGUUGAUCAUGAUGCACUUAAGUACAAGAUAAAUAAACCUCAAUUGAAUGGAUAAAUUGCUCGAUGGAUAUUACUUCUCCAAGAAUUCAACUUUACGAUUAACGUUCGACCCGACAAGAAACAUAUCAAUGCAAAUCACUUAUCUCGUUUAUCUAAUAUAUUGGAUAAUGAGCCAAUAAACGAUGUUCUUUCGGAUGCACAACUAUUCGUUGUGGAUGUCAUUACACCCAAAUAUGGUGAAUUGAUCUAAUAUCUAACGUUUCAGGUUUUUUCUAUUUUUUAUAAUGAAAAAUUAAAGAAGCGUCUGAUUUUAAAAAGUGCGUCGUAUACCAUGAUUGGCGAUGCCCUGUACAAACAAGAGCGAGAUGGAAUUUUACGCUAUUGCAUCUUUCAAAGUGAAGUUCGUACAAUUUUGGAAGGAUGUCAUUUGGACACUUAUGGAUGAUAUUUUGCAGAUGAUAGCACCAUACAUAAGGCUUUAAUGGCUGGAUAUUGCUGGCCAAUAAUAUUUUUGGAUGUACACCAAUAUGUUUGUCAUUGUGAUCCUUGUCAACAAAUUGGUCGCUGUAUUGGAACUUCUACAAUGCCAUUGAUACCAAUUUUGGCACAAGCACCAUUCGAAAAAUGAGGUAUUGAUUUUGUCGGACCAAUUGCACUUGCCUCUCGAAAUGGACAUAAACAUUAUAUUCUAGUAGCCACUGAUUAUGUCAUCAAAUGAGUGGAGGCCAUGGCAAUGAAAACUGAUAAUGCCAAUAUCGUAGCAACAUUUUUAUAUGAGAACAUUAUCACUUGUUUUGGCUGUGUGAAAGAAUUGGUUAGUGAUCACGACAUACAUUUUAUAAUGCCACAAUUGAAGCAUUAACAACGAAGUAUGAGAUCAAGCACCACAAAACUACACCUUAUCAUCCACGAGCCAAUGGACACACCGAAAAGACAAACGGUAUGCUAUGUAAGAUCUUAACAAAGACUAUUUCAGGAAUGGAAAUCGAUUGGGACAUUAAAUUGUAUGCAGUUGUAUGGGCGUAUCAUACUGCGUAUAAAGUAACUAUCAAUUCUACUCCAUUUUAAUUGGUAUACGGUCAAGAGGUAAUUCUACCAAUUGAAUUAGAAGUCCAAAGCUUACAAAUUGCGUUGGAUGAACGUCUAGGAGACAGAGAAUCUCUUCAAUAUAUGUUAAUCCAAUUGGAGAAAUUGGAUGAAGCUAGGGCUAUGGCUCUCUUGAACAUAGAAGCUACAUAGCAUCGUAGAAAGAGUUAUUACGACAGUAAGUUAUGGCCGAAAUAGUUUAUGUCCAAUGAUUUGGUGCUAUUUUAUGAUAGCCACUUUAACAACUUUCUUGGUAAAUUUCAAGUAUGAUGGCAUAGGCCAUAUCGAGUAGUGGAAGGUUUUCCUAAUGGUUCCGUUCAAUUGAAAGAUUUUCUAGGAACCCAAUUCACAACACGCGUUAAUGGGAAUUGGUUAUAUUUGUAUUAUAUGUAAACCCGAGACAGAUUUACUCAGUGGAGGGAGGGAGUCUCCGUAAUAAUGAUUACCGACAAGAUUGGAAAGGUUGUGAUAGUUAGGAAACGAUUGAUGGUUAGUUUUGGGUACUCAAACUGACUAGUCAAGAAAUUAGACAUUCUUGAUUAGAUGUGAGAAUAAGGUACAGUAGAUUAGAUGUUCUUAAUUCGGACCCCAAGUAAGCAAUUAGGAGCGGGGCAUUCAUAGAAGGUUUCAUUAUUGCAGAUUUUAGACAUUGUGCUUUGAACUGUAAGCUUUAUGAUAGUAAUAAAUAAUAGUGUUAGCACGAGAAAGUAUUGAGAGUUUGAUUUUCACAAUGUCGAUGGAAAGAGCGAAGAGAGCAUCGAAAUAAUCGAAAAGUCACCGCAAUGUGAGGUCUAAGUGCGAUCUGGUAUCACCGUCUCUUGUAGUUAUUACCAACAUGGAACUGAUGAAGUUAGAUAUCUGUUGAUCAUUGAAAAGGUAAAAAGAUUUUAGAAAUACACAAUUAUUUAUAUUUUUGCAAGGAUCGGAUAAACUACCACCAAUUGAUGUAGAACGAGUGGUGGAAUAUAUAGAAAAUUAUAAUCAAGGAGAUGGUUCGAGUGUGGUAAGAGGAGUCCUGAUUGGGAUAGAUGAGAAUAUCUUACACAAGGUCUUGUAUUUACCAAUCGGAGAGCUUGAGGUGGGAGGAGACGUGUCAAAUGAUUUCAGGCCAGGAAGCUACUUCAAAAGAGGAAUGUCAUCUCUUGAGCGAAAUCAAGGAUGGAAGGUACAGGAGGCACUUACGCCUGAACUUAUGGAAUGGAUACGGUUCAUUCAGAAGCGGUUAGCAUUGAAUCGGCAUACCACCUACAUGGCAAAGCGAUUACUAUUUUUCGUGAUAGGAACACUGAAAGGCAUGGUAUUCAAUUGGGCGGCUUAUAUUCAAUUGGCCACAAGGAUACAUGUAGAAUUGGGAGCUAAGUAAAAGACGGGGAAGUUUGCUUCACUAUUAUGUUUUAAUUAUGUAAACUCAGUGAUUCAGUAUACAUUGACAUAGGAAUCUCAACCAGUAGUUCCAAGUUUACAAAUGGGAACAGUUAGUCUAGGGAUAAUGGUGUAUGAAGUGGGAGAAUCCAGCAGAGCGGCAGAACGGGAAGCAAGACCAAUAUCUAUACCAGAGCGAGUUUCAAUUUGGCCGAUAAUAGAGAUAAUGACACCAAUACCAAUUCCAAAGAAAAGCAACCAAUUAGAAUUUCAACGGGGUGUAACGGAAGGGAGGAAUCUUAAAGAAGUUAUGUUAGGUCAAAUUUUCCAGCUGCAACUUAUGGUGGGUAAGGUCGAAGAUGAGGGUAGCUUAAAAAGGCAAGUGGAAGCGAGCAAGAAAAUAAUAUUGGAGCAAAAUUACAAAAUCAAGGAACAAAAACAAGUCAUCUAGGUAGAAUCGGAAUCUAAGAUGCAAGUGAAGCAUGAAUUAGAUGAGAGAGUGGAAAACUGGUCAAAGGAGAAACAAAGGAUUGAGCAUAUCCUGAAAAAUCAAAGGUAAGAAUUGCUACAAAUUUACAAAUCAUAUACAUUAGAACAGGAGAAUAUGAAUGCUCAAUUGAAGAUGGAAUGAGAGAAGAAGGAGGCAUUGGAGCUGGAAAAGAAACAAUUGGAUGACCAAUAUUGAAACAAAACGGAUGAGCUACAAGCAAAAAAUUUUCUUUUGAAGGAAAAAAUAACGAAAUUAGAAAGUGAUUUGGUCAGUAUUGGUCAGUCACAGAUAUUUGCCUCAACGUGAGUAAGAAUUGAAAAAUUGGAAGAGAAAUUACAACAACAGCAGUAAUAACUAGAAGCUAAAGAUGCCAAAAUCUUCCAAUUGGAAGCUUAGGUUCGAGAAUUAUGAGCGUAUAAUGAAGAUUUAAUAGCUCAAUUAAGGGCAGAGAUUCAAGACGAGUCAAAGGAAGAAGAUAUAGUGUUGGAAUAAGUCCAAAUAGAGCCAAUGCCAGAAAUCAAAGAGAUUGAACAAUCCAAUUAAAAAAAAAAAAAAAAAUGAUUAGUUUUUGUUUAUCAAUACUGUGUUUGCGGAGACACUCCACAGUUAGGAGUGGGGCUAUGUAGAAUAAGUAGUUAUUUUCAGAAUGUAGAUACCUAAUGUAUAGUGUAAACAGAGAUAGAUAAGUACUGAAAAGGUGGUUCAACAAGUAGAAUAGAUAAAUAGUCAAGAAAAGUAGUUAUCUUCUGUAGUAUAUGAGUUGGUAUCUCGGGGUAGUAUAAAGAGGAUGGGAGAGGGGAAGAAAAUGCCAAACUGCAAUAAUACUGAGCCGGGGAUAAGCUUGGUGCUAUCUCUUCUUCUUAAUUUUCUUGUUUCUUUUGUAUUAGUGUUGAUUCUAGUGAAGAGAAUCGAUUUAAUGAAUCAAUGUUUGAUUUACGAAGUUGUUUAUGGAUCACUAUUUAUCAAUUGUUGUGAAAGAUUGAGGAUGUAUAGAAGUUUUCAGUCACUGUUUAUCGCAAGGUUGUAAGAUCAGUGGAGAGGAAUUGUAAUCGAAGAAAUUAUCUCAAUCAGAUUUUGUGGAUUGGAAGUUGUUCACUCCCAGGGUUUGGGUUGUGCUUGUGUAUUCAUGAAUUACAUAGGAUACUAAAAUUGAUGUCAUGAUUGUUACCGUAUUGAUAUGAGAGACUGGACAGUAGGAAGAAAAUAUAAGUGUUCUUCAGUAUUGUAAGCAUUCAGCAGUAGCGGUUAAUUGUGUGAUCCUAACAAUUGGAACUCAUAUACAUGGUCUUUCUUUGUGUUCAAAAUCCCCUAUACAGAUUUAUUCUGGGAGGUUUCUUUUGGAAUAAGUUAAAUGACAACCACAAACCUUGAGGACGAGCUCCACCUUUAAUGCUCAAUUGUAUUUGCUCAAGGCAGCAACCACUCUAUACUCCAAAAGUUACCACAAAUCCAAUUUAAAUUUAAUACCAUUGAAAUUUGCACCACUACAACCUCAACUUUGAAGUGCUUGUAUCUAAAAAAUUUCACUAUGAAAUAAUUAUCCGGGACUAAGAAAUGCCUUGUCAAAGACAAGAUAUAUAAAACUGCCAAGGGAGUAAAUCCUCUUGUGUUCAUAAAUUCACCACAAAUUCGUUAUAGCUCCAAAUUGAAUAUAUAAUAUUUUUUUAAAAAGCUUACAGCAAGAUACACGCACAGCAAAAUUUUCAACUUCAACUAUCAAACACCCAAAAAUUGAUUGACAAAAUUCCGAGAGCAAAUCAACAUUCUACUCAACAAUAAAACUUUUGAUUAUCUUUUGAUUUUCAAAAAUUUGAAGAUCUUGUUUACACUAACAAGGAGAGAGGUAGAAACUUAAAAAUAAUGAAGACUAAGUUGCAAUGUUAACAAAACAAGUCCAAGGAAGAUCAUUCACAAAAUACUCACUUCACAUUCUCACACAUCAUUAGAAGCAUCAUCUCCCGGCAAAUGCACCAUUUAUGUGAGUAUAAAUUUCACUCCUCACCCCAAUUAUAAGAUGGCCUCAAUUAAGAGUUGCUUGUAAUUGAUUGUGUGAAGUGAAAUAAGCAAUUGGCAAAAGACCAAGGAGGCACAACCACAAUACAAGUAAAAGAGAUAAAAUCAAGUAACCAAAACAUCCAAAACAAAGUCACAAUCCGUUCACUAGAUUUUCACCCAGUAAAAAGUAAAAUUAAAAAGUUAAAAAAUAUUUUUAAAUAGAUAAUUUUUUUAUCUUUCCAAUGAAAUAAAAAUCAUGUAAUUCCAAAUUACUAUGAAUAAGUAAUGAUAGAUUAAAGAUAGAAUGUAAAUAAUAGAAAAGUUAAGUGAAUAAUUUUUACCUCAAAGAUAAAUUGCUUAAGAAAUCAGGAAUUCGAGCAUCACCAAGGCUCACAAGUAGUGUAUAUCCCCCCCUUCAAGAGGCCUUGAGGCCUUAGUCUUAUCUUCCUACCUAUACCCAAGGUGCUACAAUGCAUAUGGAAAUUGUACACCUCUCUUCCUACAAGGACUACACUAGCUGCUGGUCCUCCUAUUUUCUACUAGUAAAACUACUUUUUUAAAAUUUUUUGACUUCACCAUGGUAUUCAAAAACACCCAAUUAUCCCAGAAACCUUGCAAGGUCUUCAAAACUUGCUUCAUUUCUUCAUAAUGGCUCUCAAGGUGAUAAAACUAAAUUUUAUCAAAGUCUUGAAAUUUUCUCUAAAAAUUCAUAAAAAAUUCUAAAUAAAUUCUAAAUAAAUUCUAAAAAAUCCUAUAAUAUUUCUAUAAUACUAAUAUCCAUAUGAGGUUGCAUUUUCCUAUAUUGGUAAUUUUUUAUAGUAAUAUAAUCAAUUUAAAUCCACUAAAAAUCAUAUUUUUUAUAUAAUUAAUUAAAAAGACAUGAAGCUCUUUUUCAUGCUUCUCUUAACUACUAACUAAUCCUUGAUAGGAUUUUAUAAGUAAUACAUGUAGAUAGAAGCCAAUGAAGAUAUUAGUUUCAAUAACUAAGUCUUAAUACUUAACAAUAAGAAAAAUACUGAAUUAACUAAGAUAAUUGUCUCCAAGACUUAGUAAGACUCCAUUUUAUAACUUCUUCUAAUAACACUUUUGUAACUUAUAAAUACUUCUAAAUUAUAAAAAAUAUUCGAAUAUUCAAAAAAAAACUCUCUAAUCUUAAUAUUUAUAUAAUUGAAUGACUUAAAACUAUAUUUUUAACUAAUCCACUAAUUAAGAUUAAUUUGUGGGACUCACAUAUAUUAAAAAAGAAACAAGAAUGGCUAUUGUCAAAAGACAAGAAAACUAGAGACCCUUGAAACUAGACUAGAAGCAAGAAAGAAGUUGACAAGAAUGAAGAAGGCUUCACUCUUGUCUCUACAUAUACUAUCUAACUAAGGCUAAGUGGCGAUAUUCUAAAGGUCCUCCAAUAUGUGUUGACUUUAUAGGACACAUGCCUUGAUUUACAAGGCAAGUUUUUUUAAAUGUGGGCCACAUAGUUAGCUUGGUCUUCAAGCUAACAACAUGUGUGGCACAUGGCCAACUAAUUUACUUGGUUUUUAAUCCAAAAAUUCAAUUAAAGACACCUAUAAAGUCAAAGUAGCAUCUAAAAUGCUUCUAGAAAGCUUCCAUAGUAAAUAUUAUAGAAAUAACUUACUUUUUAACUACUUUUACUUACUUAUACAUAUUUAUAUAUGUAAUAAUUAACUUACAUGAAUAUGUAUGUGACUCCAAAAUUUUGGCCAUUUUUGUAAUAAAUUGCGCUCUAUUUAAAAUUACAUAUUUUUUUAAAUCCCAAUAAAUUUACUCAAAUAGGAUUCAUAAGAAUAUUUUUAUUAAAAAGUAACUUCAUUUGCUUUGCAUCUUUGAUGAAAAAAAUCCAUGACUAUUUUAUAAUUUAAAUUUAUUCUUAGAAGUACACAAAGCUAUUUUUAGAAAAAGUAAUCAAAAAAGAAUAGUAAAGACCAAGCAUAUAUAAUUACAAUAAGGUCUCACGAAUUAAAAAUACUUACUAGAAAUCUAAAGAAGAAGCUCAAGAAGAAUUGCCAAGAACUAGAUUAAUCAGAUGAGUACAAGAAUAACACUAGAGAGGUGAGCUAGAGCUCCAAAAGGUGUGUUGUCAAGACUAAGGAUCCCCUUAGUCUCAGCUCCUAUAUAUACUACAAGCUAGGAAGCUUCUCAAGUAACUUCCACAAACUAGGAAGCUUCUUAAGCAGCUUCUACAAACUACAAAGCUUCGCUAAGACCUUCUAGAAUCUUCUACAACUUCCUAGUAUAUGUCUUUGCCAUCACUCCCCCCUCCCUUUAGCUUUGAGGUCUCCGAGAAGCACUCCUAUUGUGAGUUAGUACCAAUGUAAGAAGUUGAAAAUUUAUUGCAUAGUGUCUGCAAAAUACUCCAAUUGUUGUUCGCACAGCAAGUAGUUCAUUAGUCCUUAUAACCAACGAUAGUAUCCUAUGCCUUCAAUUUCUGACCAAGCAUGAACUUUUGUGUCUUCAUUGUAAAAAUGCCUUGCAAACACUCCUUUGGGAAGAUCACCAUAGGCAAGUUCUACCUCAAAUACAGUCACUAGUAACCUAUUACUGUGUAUCUUCCGUUAUCUUCAUGGUACAUGCAGUUCUUCCUCUCGGGAUCGUAUUCGUGAGAUACUCAAUUGAGAAGACAUGACUGAUAUAGUAUCUAUUUCUUGGCUAUCUAUAUCAAACCAAAAAAUAUAAGCACUAAACAUGGAAGAAUGGGCUUAAGUUACAGAUUUAUAGUCUCUAACUAUGUCUUUUAGAAGUUCUUUCUCUCCUUUUUUUGUAAGACCGAGGAUUAAGAGACUUCAAGGAGAAGGAACUUCACUGAAAUACUUUCAUUGAAAGGACUUAGGUUUCUAAGGAUAGCGUCGAUGAAACUCCUGUACUUUUUGUGAUGCAUUGAUAAGAUUUUUCACUGGUUCACAUUUAUGUUCAUUGAUAUCAUAGCUGCUUUAAUGCACUAGGUACUCCAAUUUUCUCUACUUACGCUGCAAAUCUAGUACCUUUUCCACCUCAUAUUCAUCAUGGUUUUUAAUUUCAAUACUAGGUGGCGGACAUUGCACUCUUCUAAAAAAGAUGACUCUCGAUAAGGCUCCAACAAAAAAACAUGAAAGAUUAGGUAUACCUUCAUUGUAACCAAUAAUCCCAAACGAUACGCCAUUGGAUUGAUUUGCUUCUAGAUGAAAAAUGGUCUCAAUCUCCAAUAGUCCAACUUAUCACAGGGCUACAGGAUUUUGAUAUUCCAUCAAAUCAACCAUACUUUAUCUCUAAUUUUGAAAGUAGGUGCAUGAUUCCGAAAUUUGUUUGUGAACACCUUGUAAGCUUCUUGGGCAGUUUGCAAUUGAAGCUUCAAUGUAGUUUGAAGCUCUGAUAGUUGUUCACAAAUCCUUCAACUGUCGGGUUGUUAUUGGUUGACGGAUUCAACAAAUCAAGCUUCAGAUGAUACCCAUAGUUGGAAAAGAUGGUGUUUGUUGAGUCGACGCAUGAAGGAUGUUCUUAUAUGUAAACUUGGCUAACAAUAGAUAUAUAGUCCAAUCAUCUUGUUGAUAGUUGAUAUUGCAUCCUAAAUACUGCUCCAAAGUUUGAUUCACCCAUUUUCUUUGGCCAUCAAUUUGAGGAUGGAAAGCUGAAGAAAAGUUGAUAUCUACCUUCAAUAUCUCAAAGAGAGAUCUCUAAAACUUUGAUACAAAUUGGAUUCCUUGAUCCGAUACGAUAUCAUCUAGUAAACCAUGAUAUUGAUAUACACUAUCAAAGAAGAGCCUUGCUGUGUCUUUGCUUGAUGAUGUUUUCUUACAAGGGACAAAGUAUGCCAUCUUUGUAAGCCGAUCUACCACAACAAAGAUGCUGUCAAAUGAAUUCAAUGGCGGUAGGUCCAUAAUGAAGUCUAUGGAAACUGAAGACCAUGGCCGAUGUGGAAUAGGCAAUGGCUCAAGAACAUCAUAAGGACGAUGUUGAGGAUUCUUGGAUCUUGAACAAAUGUCACAAGAGAGGACAAAAUCCUUAACAUCCUUCCACAUUUGAGACCACCAAAAAUCUCGAGAAAUAAGUUCCAAGGUCUAAUUGAAUCCAAAAUAUUCCACAGCUAGAAAUUUGUGUCGAGAUUAGAGAACUCUGAGUCGUGUUGGUCCCUUUGGAAUAUACAACCGCUCCUCAAAGUAUAAAAGAUCUCUUUCCACCUUAAACUUGUCAUUAUUGAUACAUUGCAUAAUAUCAAGGGCUACAGAAUCUCCAAUAGUCGCACUAUGUAUCUGGUUGAAAAAAUCAACAUCAAUUGGCACUAUAGUAGAGCAAGGCCUGAAUUAUUUUGACUUCAACAAUGUUGUACACUGUUGAUCAAACACUUUUUUUUCAACCUUUGGCACUAGAUACGAUCUCCUUGAUAAUAUAUUAGAUAGUCCUUGUUGCUUUUCAAGUCGAUAAGUAAUAACAAAGUCAAACCUGGAUAGCAACAUAUUCUAUCGAGCUUGAUGAUGAUUCAGAAUCCAAGCCGACAUGAAGUACUCCAAAUUCUUGUGAUCCAUAUAUACGGUCACCGAAUGUACAACUCUUUUGAAAAAGUAACCCCACUGUUGGAAAGAAUCUACUAUCGUAAGAAGUUCUUUAUUGUGGAUCUUAUUAUUGAUCUCGGCAGUAGAAAACUUUCAAGAGUAGAAUGCAAUCAGAUGAAGCUUCUUGUCUGUACCUAUCUAUAAAAGUAUAGCUCCUAUAGUAAAAUCUAAAGCAUCGGUCUCCAAAUAGAAGGCCUUUGCAAAGCUCAGAUGUACCUAGAUUGGAGCCAUAAUAAAUGCCAUCUUAAGAUCUUGAAAUACUUUUUUCGCUAGAGGUCUCCAUUCAAGCUUAACUUUACAUGUCAAUUGAGUGAGCGAAGCAGCAACUUGAGAAUAAUUCUUCAUGAAGACCCGAUAGAAGUUAGCAAAGCCAAGAAAGCAUUGUAUAUCCCUAAUCGUCUUUGGAACUUUCCAUGAUACAAUUGCUUCCACCUUCUUAGGAUCCAUCUUCAAGUCUUCUGUAGUUGCAAUGAAUCCCAAAAAUUCCAUCUUACUUUAGUUAAACAAGCACCUCUCCAACUUGGCGUAAAGUCCUCAAUUGCAGAGUUUUUCAAGGACCAGACAAACGUAGUUUUUAUGCUCUUCUACGUUCUUGGAAAAUAUCAAAAUAUCAUCUAGAUAGAUGACAAUAAAAUCAUCAAGAUACUCCCAAAAGAUGUCAUUCAUCAUGUGUUGAAAGACCACUGGAGCAAUAGUAAGAUCAAAAGGCAUGAUAUUAUAUUCAAAAUGGCCAUACCUUGUACGAAAAAGGUGUCUUCUAUUUGUCUCUUUCCUUGAUUUGCACGAGGUUAUAAGCUCCUUUUAGAUCAAUCUUUGUAAAGAUCCUUGCAUAUCCAAGUUACUCUAGAAAACCUGAUAUCAAAGGUAAUAAAUAAUGAUUCUUCUUUGUCACCUUGUUGAGACCUUGAUAAUCUAUGCACAUCCGUAAUAAGCCAUCUUUCUUCUUCACAAAUAAGAUUGGUGGUGAAGUUGGUGACUUCCAAUGACAAAUGAAGUUCUUGGCUAGAUUCUCAUCAAUAUACUAUUACAACUCCGCUAACUUCAUCUGCGACAAAUUGUAGAUUGGACCAAAAGGUGGUUGUGCUCUUUCUUGUAAGACUAUGGCACAAUCGUUUGGUCAAUGCUCUCGUAGCAUGUUGGCAUUUUUCUUUUGAAAUACGUCUUCAAAAUCCUUAUAUUGCUCCGGUAUAUUUGUUGUCGAAAUCUUCUCUCCGCUAGUUAAAGUCGCAUAAAUGACAAACAAUGUAUCUUCCUUUGACGAUAUUACAAAUGCUCUUGCUCUAAUAAAUAAGAGUUUUUUGAUUCGGGAUCUUCUAAUAGGCUUACUCUCGGAAUGUUCUAUAGGAAAUGUUAUCCUUCGUAACCUCCAAUCUAUGUAUGGAUUAUGCAUUUCUAACCAAGAAAGACCAAGAAUAAUAGGGUUUGACAGGGUUCUAAUAAUAUUGAAAAUAAUAUAACUACUAUGGCCUUUCAACGUCACCUCUAUAGAUUCUGAUUCAUGAGUAAUAAAGGUUUUUCAUCUAUUACUUCUAUGUUGUCGUCAUACGUAAAGUCUUGCUUAAGAAUACUUUAGGCAUCUGGCUGUGGAAGGUAGAAUAGAAAUUAUAAUAAUAAAAUCCUAAUUUUAGUAGAUUAUUAACAAUGCUAAACAAGCUUUAAUCAAAUUCAAAUAUACCUCAAAGAAAUUUCAAAGAAACAAUAAGAAAUCUUAAAAAAAAUAUUAGAAUAAUUACAAAUAUAUCUCAAAUACAUCUCAAUUCAAUCUUAAUUUAAUCCUAGUUAAAAUCCUAUUGGACUUCAUUCAAAAUUUAGGCCAAAACUAACUAAAUUUCAAAUCCUAAUAAAUUCUAAUAAAAUCCUAAAUCCUAAAUCUAAUCUUAAACAAAUCCUAAACCAAACUCCAAUUAAAUCCUAAACCAAAUCUUAUUCAAACCUUAAACCCUAAAUCAAAACCUAAACCUAAACCAAAUCCCAACCAAAACCUAAAUCCUAAAUCUUAAAUCAAAUCCUAAACUAAUCCUAAAUCAAAUCCUAACCAAACCCUAAACCAAAUCCUAAAUUCUAAAUCAAAUCCUAACCAACUCAAAUCCUAAAUCAAAUCCUAAACCUAAACCAGAUCCUACUCAAACUCUAAACUCUAACCCAAUCCCAACCAAAUCCUAAACCAAAUCCUAAAUCCUAAAUUAAACUCUAAAUAAACCCUAAACCAAAUCCUAACCAAAUCCUAAAUCAAACCUUAAAUCCUAAAUCAAACCCUAAAUCUUAAAUCAAAUCCUAAAUCCUAAAUCAAAUCCUAACCAAAUUCUAAACUUAAUCCUAAACCCUAAAUCAAACCCUAAUCAAAGCGUAACCCUAAAUCAAAUCCUAAUCAAAUCCUAAACCAAAUCUUAAACUCUAAAUCAAAUCCUAAAUAUUAAAUCAAAUCCUAAAUUCUAAAUCAAAUCCUAAUCAAAUCCUAAACUUAACCCUAAAUCCUAAAUCAAACCCUAAUCAAAUUCUAAACCAAAUCCUAAACCCUAAAUGAAACUCUAACCAAAGCCUAACCCUAAAUCAAAUCUUAAUCAAAUCUUAAACCAAACCUUAAACUCUAAAUCAAACUCUAAAUCUUAAAUCAAAUCCUAAAUUCUAAAUCAAACCCUAAUCAAAUCCUAAACUAAAUCCUAAAUCCUAAAUCAAAUCCUAACCAAAUUUUAAACCAAAUCCUAAAUCUUAAAUCAAACCCUAAUCAAAGCCUAACCCUAAAUCAAAUCCUAAUCAAAUUCUAAACCAAACCUUAAACUCUAAAUCAAAUCUUUAAUCUUAAAUCAAAAUAAAUUCGAAAUCUAAUCCUAAUCAAAUCCUAAAUAAAAUCCUAAAUCCUAAAUCAAAUCCUAACCAAAUUCUAAACCAAAUCCUGAAUCCUAAAUCAAAUUCUAACCAAAGCCUAACCUUAAAUCAAAUCCUAAUCAAAUCCUAAACCAAACCUUAAACUCUAAAUCAAAUCCUAAAUCUUAAAUCAAAUCUUAAAUUCUAAAUCAAAUCCUUAUCAAAUCCUAAACCAAACCCUAAAUCCUAAAUCAAAUCCUAACCAAAUUCUAAAUCUUAAACCAAUCCCUAACCAAAUCCUUGUAAUUCCUACAACAAAUUUAAACCUCAAUAACUAAUAAAUAAACUCUUGAUCUUAACUCAAAUUUUAUACACUUGUUAAAAACUAAGUUGAAAACAUGCACAAAAAAUUUUAAAAGGAUCAAAAUUACCAAAUAGAUGAUAAACUCAAAAAUGUGCUUGGAUAUUGGCCAACCUCCUUCUCUAACUUUGAUGCCAAUCUCCCAAAGCCAAUAUCUCUCUUUUUCACCAUUUGAUUGAUCUCAAAACUCUCAUACAUAUAAAAAAACAAGUCUAAUCAACUAUAACCAUUAACUCCCAUUGAUACCUGGAGAGGGCCAGUUAUGAACCAGGGUCGAAAUCAGACCCUAAAGCACAAAACCAUGUCUCGACAACGAUUCUAGGACUAUUUGGCAGAUUGGAGGGUCAAAUUUGAUAAAAAAUUAGAUAGGGUUUUUAUGAGUGUUGGUUUUGGGUGAUUUGAAUUUGUAUUAAUUUUGUAAGAGCUUGCGAAGUCAAUGUUUGUUUUGGAUGACUUGGAUUUUAUGAAAUAAAAUAAGGCUUAUAUUUUGGAUGAUUUCAAGAGUUUUUUAAUAGAUCUAUGGGUAAAAAUUUGGGAGUUAAUGGUUAUAGUUGUAUUCAAUAUGUGUUGGAAAUUUGAGCUCGAUCUAACGGUUCAAUUGGGGAUUAUUGAGGUUUAAGUGGAUCAAGGGCAUAGAAAGUAGAAUUGUAGGUCUAAUGAGGGUUUUUAAGAUUUCUUAUAAUUUACUAAUUGGACUGAAAUGAAAUUUAUGUGAAAAGAUAUAAGUCUUAUUUUUCUAUGUGUAUGAGAAUUUUGAGAUCAAUCAAAUGGUGAAAAAGAGAGAUAUUGGCUUUGGAAGAUUGGCAUUAAAGUUGGAGAAGGAGGUUGGCCAAUAUCCAAGCACAUUUUUGAGGUUAUCAUCUAUUUGGUAAUUUCGAUCCUUUUAAAAUUUUUUGUGCAUGUUUUCAACUUAGUUUUUAAGAAGUGUGUAAAAUUUGAAUUAAGAUCAAUAGUUUAUUUAUUAGUAAUUGAGGUUUAAAUUUAUUAUAGGAAUUACAAGGAUUUGGUUAGGGAUUGGUUUAAGAUUUAGAUUUUGGUUAGGAUUUGAUUUAGGGUUAGGCUUUGGUUAGGCUUUGGUUAGGGUUUGAUUUAGGAUUUAGGAUUUAGUUUAAAAUUUGAUUAGGGUUUGAUUUAAAAUUUAAGAUUUGAUUUAAGAUUUAGGAUUUGAUUUAGAGUUUAAGGUUUGGUUUAGGAUUUGAUUAGGAUUUGAUUUAGGGUUACGCUUGGAUUAGGGUUUGAUUUAGGAUUUAAGAUUCGGUUUAGAAUUUGAUUAGGAUAUGAUUUAGGCUUUAGGAUUUGAUUUAAGAUUUAGGAUUUGAUUUAGGGUUUAAGGUUUGAUUUAGGAUUUGGUUAGGAUUUUGUUUAGGAUUUGUUUAGAGUUUAAUUUAGGAUUUAGGAUUUGGUUUAGGAUUUGGUUGAGAUUUGGUUUAGAAUUUAGGAUUUGAUUUAGGAUUUGAGUUGGUUAGGAUUUGAUUUAGAAUUUAGGAUUUGGUUUAGGAUUUGUUUAGGAUUUGGUUUAGGAUUUUUUUAGGAUUUGAUUUAGGAUUUAGGGUUUAGGGUUUGAUUGGGAUUUGGUUUAGGUUUAGGAUUUAAUUUAAGGUUUAAGAUUUGAUUACGGUUUGGUUUAGGUUUAGUUGGAGUUUGGUUUAGGAUUUGUUUAGGAUUAGAUUUAGGAUUUAGGAUUUUAUUAGAAUUUAUUAGGAUUUGAAAUUUAGUUAGUUUUGGCCUAAAUUUUGAAUGAAGUCCAAUAGGAUUUUAACUAGGAUUAAAUUAAGAUUGAAUUGAGAUGUAUUUGAGAUAUAUUUGUAAUUAUUCUAAUAUUUUUUUUAAGAUUUCUUAUUGUUUCUUUGAAGUUUCUUUGAGGUAUCUUUGAAUUUGAUUAAAGCUUGUUUAGCAUUAUUAAUAAUCUACUAAAAUUAGGAUUUUAUUAUUAUAAUUUCUAUUCUACCUUCCACAGCCAGAUGCCUAAAGUAUUUUUAAGCAAGGCUUUACGUAUGACGACAACAUAGAAGUAAUAGAUGGAAAACCUUUAUUAUCUGGUAGUAUCACUGUAAUUGCUUGUUUUACUUAUUCCGAAAGAAACCUCCCAGAAUAAAUCCAUAUAAGGGGAUUCAAACAUGAGAAAUGACUAAUUGCUUAAGCAUUCAUGUUAGGGUCACACAAUCAAUUACCUCCUGAAUAUAUCGUCUCUAUUUCGAAUAUCUGAACACACAAGGAAACUAUAAUCUCCUCCUUCACCUUAUCGGUCUCUUCCUUACAGUAAUUCAGUCAUACCAAUAACUACUAUUUCCACCAUUAUAAUCACCCUCAUAAUCUCUAAUUGUAAUACUGCACCCUCACAGCUUUCAGCACACAAUUACCCUCAUUCCAAUCACUGAAAUUCUUCACAUAGAACCCGAUUCACACUAUCACAUCGAUGGCCCUUGGCUUACGACUCUCAUAGUCUGGUCCUCGGCUUACGACUCUCACACUCUGGCAUUUUCUUCUCCUCUCCCAUCCUCCUUAUACUACUUCGAGAUACCAACUCUUAUACUAUAGAUGAUAACUACUUUUCGUGACUAUUCAUCCAUUCUACCUAUUGAACCACCUUUUCAACAGUUAUCUAUCCCUGUUUACACUAUACACUAGGUAUCUACAUUCUAAAAAUAACUACUUAUUUCACAUAGCUCCACUCCUAACUAUGCAGCAUCUUCGCAAACAGUGAAUUGAUACCUAUCUAAAAAUUAUCUAACAAAACUCUAUAAAAAUUGCGAUCCCUCUAGCCUAUCUAAUUAAUCAAUUGUCGUAGUAUCUGUUAUUGGUUCCAUCGAUUCCGGUUCCAACUGCAAAUCUUCGUCCUCCUCCAAUCCUUCUUCUAGCCUAUCUAAUUAAUCAAUUGCCACAGUAUCUGUUAUUGGUUCCACCGAUUCCGGUUCCAACUGCAAAUCUUCGUCCUCCUCCAAUCCUUCUAUCGGCUCCUUCCUCAACUGAGCUGAAAGGUCUUCAUUAUACUCGCCCAGUUCACGGACUUAAGCUUCCAAUUUUAGGAUCUAGACAUCUCUCAAUUCUAAUUGUUGCUCCUACUGACUCAUCCAUUCUGGAACAUCUUCAAUCGAUACUUGUGACCGGCUCCUCACUGUUAGCUCUUAACUAGAACUACUACUCUCGAAAAUACAAGAAAUACAAGAAAAUGGUACUCCAGACAACCCAAAACAACACCAUAGAAUGACUUUAACUGGUGCCCCACUCCUAUUCUUUUACUACUUGGUGAUAAUACUAAUAUGUUAUCCAUACUGUCUGUGAAAGGUAAUGAGAAGUAAUCUUUUUUGGUGGCCAUAUUAAGUUUCCAAAAAUCCUGACAAUUCUCAUUCUUUUUCGGUACCAUCACGAUUGGCGACACCCAUACACUAUGCAGAACAAGAUAAAUAAAAUCCAUGUUGAGAAGUUUAUCUAAUUCCUCUUCCACUAAAAGGAAAUUUUUUGAAUUAAGGCGAUGUUGUCUCUGCCGUAUCGGUUUAGCGUUCUCCUCUAAAAUGAUAUGAUGCUCACAGACUUCAGUGGAAAUACCUUUUAAAUCAUCAUAAGUCUAAGCAAAAGUGGAUUUAUGAUACAAGAAAAAUUCGGUCCAGUAGGUCAACUCUUGUUCCUUAAUACCUUCGUAGACUUUAAUUGUCCGAGGUUCUGCUGUGGUCGCCAAGUUGAUAGUUUGACAAAAAGGUGCAACGAUGAUGUUCUCUUUCAAUCCCCGCGUUGGUUUAAAGUCAGUUGGUAAGUUUGACAUGUACGAAGUACUGAAUCCUGUGUCCAGGGUACUAACAUGGUGCACAUCAUACUUGGUCAUCUAAUCCGCACUAACAUAAUCCGAGUUUUUCGAGUCCAUUGGAAAAAUCAAGUACUCCCCCGGACCUCCACAUUGGUACACCACUAUAGGGUGUAGUGCUACUUCUACGGGCGCCUCCGUAAUUGGUGCUAUUGCAUCGUCAUCUGAGCUAAGCUCAUCGUCCGAUGUUAAUUCAAAUGCUGGCAAUUGAGAUUUCCCGUGAUAAUGUAUUGGGUACAUUUGUAACACCAUUUUGUCUUCGUCCUUGCCAAUUGUCUAAGUACCCCGACCCCAAUCAUUCUUGAUCUUUACUUGAUAAAGCCAGGGUUGUCUCAAUAAAAUUGGAUAUGAUAAACUCGACCGUUGUAACCGAAAGACGAUAUAAUUGAUUUCAUAUGCAAUAACAAUAAUCAUAGUUUGAACACUCCGUAAGAUACCCAUUGGUUUAACCCGGCUAUGAUCUGCCAUCCGUAAUACCAAUGUUGUGGAUACUAAGUGUUCCAAAUCUAAAGCAUCCAAUGUAUUAGCGUUCAUUAAAUUGACGAUGGAACCACCAUCCACUUGAACAUCCAAGAUCAUAACACCAUCAAUCGAAACAUUGAUGGUUGGUGCACCUGGAUCAGGAUUCAAACUAACUUCACAAACUUCUUUAUUACGUUGCCUAUACCAUGUUAACGAUAAAUUCAAUAUAGAACGGCACUCUGGUACGACCGCUAGAAGUUGCUUCAUAAAAAUAGAAGGCCAAAUAGCAUCCAGAUCCUUCAAAAUAUCAUAGGAUUCUAUAUUUAGGAUAAUUUCUAAUGUCUUCUUUCUUUUCAUUGGUUUGACUUUAACUCCGUGAAAUAAGAUAUUCUUCCGCCCUGGACUUAGAAUUGGAACAACAGCCGGGGCUUCCUUGGAAUUUCCGCCCCCAAGAGGAUCUUUCAAUAGAUAGGACGUUUUUCACAACUACGUAGAUAUCGAAACUACUUGGAAUGGAACAGAAGCCUCCGUAAUUGGGACCUUAUUGGGUUGUGCCACCAAUUCAGGUCUCAUACUGGGUACAGAGUCCGUAACAUGACCUGGAUUGGAUGGUCCUGACAAAUUGGUACGUAAAAUCAAAUUGGAUUCCUUAGUUUGUUGAGGUCUAAGUAUUGGGAUACGUCCCAAUAUUGAUAUUGAUUUGUUUAGCCCCGUAGACAGCACUACUUGGUCUCCUGCGAUUGGUUCAUCCAUGUCCUGAAUUGGAUUCUUAUCUUUUUGUUGGCCUCUGGUAAGCACUGCGUUCACCACCUCGACACGAUGUACUAGUGAGUCUCGUUGAACAGGGCCUUUGUCCUCCGUCGAUUGACUUGUUUAUAUUUGCUGGUCCUAAUUAUUAUAAUUAAAGGGCGCAUUGCACUGCUGAUAAGUGUGACCAAGCUGCUUACAAUUUUCACAUAUUGGAGCAAAAUCAUCACUGGCCCUUAGAUUAGGAUAUUCACUCGCAUAAUAACCAAUCUGUUUGUAACGAUAGCAACCAAGUGGUCUCCUGCCAAUUCCUUCACGGAUAUUGGGUGUCUUUAUUGAUAUAUAAUGGCUAGGUCUGUUUCAUGUCGGAUGAGUAAAGGAUCCUAGUUGACUCAUUGUUAUUGUAGACUUUAGCAUUGGCUUUGUCAUAGGUGGAUAUUGAUGGUAUCCUAGUUGGUUCAUCGCCAAUCUGUGAGUAUUGGGUACACCUUCUUGGUGAAAUUCAGAGUUGAGGAAAUUAGAAUAAUUCUUCUUUUGUUUAUUUGCUCGAUUUCUAUUCCAGCCAAAUCUAUUAUUCGUUUGUACUUGAUUGACAUUCCAUGAAGUUGGUUGAGUCAUUAUCUAGUUACUGAGUUGUUGUUGUUUUCCAAAAUUCCAACAGUUGGUGGUAAUAUGCUUGCUCCCACAAAAGGUACAUUAUACAGUCAUUUGGGGUGGUGAAUGACAUUCUGUUACUAAAUGACCUUGCCCCUUACAAUUGUUGCACCAGAUAUUGGGACGCAUAUUGGUUAAUUUAUGCCUUUUUUCUGUAUCCUUGGCUAGAUUCACAGCCAAUUCAUCCAUUUUUUUCGUCAAUGUUAACAACAAUGACUCAUUAGGAUCCCUUGAUACCAAUGCAUUUGGUAAUUCCUUUGUAUGUAUUGGUUUCUGAUACGCGGAAUAAGCUCAUACGAGUGUGAUGAUGAUGGUGGUGGUACAGCUUGUAAUGGAACGGCAUCCACUAUUCCCUAUGGAAUUGUACCAUAAUCAUUCCUUCCCAGAUAACUUCUCGAUGCGUCAUUCCAAUAUGUCAUUUGAUAACCUCCUUGAGAUGGAAUCAUCGUGGCUCCAACUGUUAAGUUCUGAUCAUAGUGACAUUCCUCCCAUACUUUUGCUCGCUCAAGAGAUGAUGCAAUGGUGGUUGAUUGGGCCUCCUUUACAAACAUUUUCAAUUCUGGUGGAUAUAGUCCAUUAACCAAUAUGGACAACACAAAUGUUUUUGGCAUUUAGUUAUUUGGCCAUUUUCGAAGUAUAUCUGCUACACGACCUUAUAUGACUGUACCGCUUCCCUUGGUACCAUUCUGCUGUUCAUUAAUUUUUCAUUAAGACAUUCUUCAAAACCAAUUGGUCAAAAAUGGGCUAAAAAUGCAUUUUUCAAUGCCUCCCAAUUGAUAAAUUGUCCCACAGGUUGGCGGUUAUACCACUCAAACGCUGUGUCUUUCAAUGUCACUGGCAACAAUCUUAACCAAAUGUCUUCUGUUCUUCCAUUACUAGCUACACACGUUGUCGGGGUAGAGAGGUUUUGCCUUAAGAAAGCACUGGGCUUCUGGUUGUCACUAAUUGCUCAAUCAAGCUUAAAAUAAGGAAAUCCGAAUUUUAUAUAUAUAAGUUCUCCUUUUGGGACAAUUACACCAAAUACUUAAGUCUUAAAUAACCAACAACACCCAAAAUAUGAUAGAAGUACUCUAAAACCUUGUAUAUCCUUGUGUGGAAAUUCUCCCAAACUUCAACACCUCAUAACUCUUGAUUCAACCAUCCAAACAAGAUCAAAAUUUACAUGAAGUACUGAUAUGUUGUUAUUAAUUUUUAUAACAAAUUUCAACUGCAAAUUCGUCGCGGAUCUUCAGAUAUCUUCAAAACCCUAACAGUCGAUUCAAACCCUAAUCUUUAUAUACACGCACGCAAUUUUCUUUAUAUCUCACAAACCAUAAGUCCAAAUGCCACGAAACUUGUAUAGAUAGCUUCUUAACACAAAUUUUUACAUUCUCCAAAAAGUUUGAACCAAAAUUUUGUUCGAAAACUCAAGUUAUGGCUCCUAACACUACUUUGAACAAAACCGAUUACUUAUUGCCUUUGAUUUGAAUGCGCUGUCUUUAACUUCCUAUAACUCCUUCACAUAAACUCCAAAUGCAAAAUUUCCUUUGCAAAAGAUAUAUGUCUUGAAGUUGGCCUUCCAGCCGCAUCUUUUGAUCUCCAAAAGCUUCCGUAAGACUCCUCUUAAAUUCAAAAGAGUAACAGUAGGUCUCAAAUUGACACCUGAACUUCAAACGGCUAUAACUUAUUCACCCUAACUCCAAACCCUAUAAAAUUUGUACAAAAAUUGUAGCCAAAAUCCUAAACUUUACAAUCCUUGCCUUUGAUUUCCUAAUGGCCUCUUUGAAGUCGCCGAAACCCUUAUCAAGGUUGCGGACAGCCUCCUAAAAGCCCAUUGGGCAUGGAUUUCGACCAAUGGGGAUGAAGAUCAUUAUUUCUACGUUCAUCCAACCAUGCCUUGGUUUCAUCCCUCCCAAUUAACCUCCUAUUAGUUUAAAUCUUCAUCUUUAGGCUUCUACCUUCUCCCAAGGCUUCAUACUAAAUAUUUAGGUACUAUAUAUAUAUAUAUAUAUAUAUAUAUAUAUAUAUAUUUAAUGUCAAAAUCAAAGAAAUAAAAAAACAAAGUAAAGUUUCUUAUACCAACUCUUUUUAAUUUAAUCUACUAGCCACUCUAACAUACAUCUAGAUUUAUCAACAUAUAAUAUAUUUUAACUAAUUUUUACAUACUAUAAGCAUUUAUAGUACGACAACGUUGUUAAGAAUUGAGACAAAUAUUGAUCUGAAUUUGCACCUAGAAAACCCCGAAAAGUAGGUAGUGGUGCGACACUAAUCGUACAAUCGCCUAUUGCACCCAUUUGUACUACAAUCGAAACAACUGGUCCUCUUGACACCAUUGAAUUUCUUGUUUCACUAAACUCUAUUUUAAAAUAAUCUCUGCUUUUUCUUAUUCUAAUCUCCAAGCUCUCGGUGCUCUUUGAUUUACUGUUAUUUUCCACAAUUAGUUUUAUUGAUUGAAUUAUAGGUGAAAACAUCGGAUUUUAAAAUACAAUAUAGUUAUCUUUAUUGGUAACCAAUUUGUGCCAAUCUGAAAAGCCACUAUUGCUCGUUUCAGAGGUACCUCCUAUUGGAAAAAUACCCAAUGGAGUACCAAAUUCUUCUAAGCCUCCUUCUCUUUCAGUUAACAGCCUCAAGAUUUUCACUGAAAUGUUAACAAAAUUUCUUGCGAGUAUUCUUGGCAGUUUUUCUAACGAUAUAUAUGACUGCAAAAUUAAUAGUCUGUCCGAUUCUUGAUAUGUUCGGAUGCGUUGACAAGCUUGCAACCAUGGUUUAAUCCAAUUUUAUCGAUACUUUCUUUUAAGAUUACGUUCUUCCUCCUCUCUAAGCAAGUUCCUUCCUUGCGCUCUUCCUUGUCUUUCUCUCAACUGAUUUAUUUUCCUCGAUGCAAUGCUCUUGUUCUUAUUAACCAUAAUCUUGCUUCAAAGACUACUAAAAUCAUCUUUCAUUACCAAUUUUCUCACAUGUUUGGUAAUUAAUUCCUAACACUCAAAGUUAUUAUCACCCCCUGACAGCGGCGCCAAAAUUUGAUUGCACGUUUUACUUAUUCCAGAAGAAACAUCCCAAAAUAAACUCGUAUGGGGAGAUUCGAAUACGGAGAAUGACUAGUUGCUUAAGCGUUCACGUUAGGGUCACACAAUCAAUUACCUCCUGAAUGUAUCGUCUCUAUUUCUAAUAUCUGAACACACAAGGAAACUAUAAUCUCUUCCUUCACCUUAUCAGUUUCUUCUUUACAGCAAUUCUAUCAUACCAAUAACUGCUAUUUCUACCAAUAUAUUCACCCUCAUAAUCUCCAACUGUAAUAUUGCAUCCUCACAGCUUUCAGCACACAAUUACCCUCAUUUCAAUCACUGGAAUUCUUCACAGAGAACCCGGCACACACUAUCACAGCAAUGGCCCUCAGCUUACGACUUUCACAAUCUGGCCCCCGGCUUAUGACUCUCACAGUCUGGCAUUUCCUUCCCCUCUCCCAUCCUCCUUAUACUACCCCGAGAUACCAACUCCUAUACUACAGAUGAUAACUACUUUUCCUGACUAUUCAUCCAUUCUACCUGCUGAACCACCUUUUCAGCAGUUAUCUAUCCCUGUUUACACUAUACACUAGGUAUCUACAUUUUGAUAAUAACUAUUUAUUCUACAAUCACCCAUGAAUAAGAACCUAUAGAGGUGAUGUUUAAAGGCCAUAGUAGUUAUAUUAUUUUCAAUAUUAUUAGAACCCUGUCAAAUCUUAUUAUUUUUGGUCUUUUCUAGUUAGAAAUGCAUAAUCCAUGCAUAGAUUGGAGGUUAUGAAGGAUGACAUUUCCUAUAGAACAUUCCGAGAGUAAGCCUAUGAGAAGAUCCCAAAUCAAAAAACUCUUAUUUAUUAGAGCAAGAACGUUUGUAAUAUCGUCAAAGGAAGACUUAUUGUUUGUCAUUUAUGCAACUUCAACUAGCGGAGACAAGAUUUCAAUAGCAAAUAUACCGGAGCAAUAUAAGGAUUUUGAAGACGUGUUUCAAAAGAAAAAUUCUGACAUGCUACGAGAGCAUUGACCAUACGAUUGUGCCAUAGUCUUACAAGAAAGAGCACAACCAUCUUUUGGUCCAAUCUACAAUUUGUCGCAGAUGAAGUUAGCGGAGUUGUAAUAGCAUAUUGACGAGAUCUAGCCAAGAACUUCAUUUGUCAUUGGAAGUCACCAACUUCAGCACCAAUCUUAUUUGUGAAGAAGAAAGAUGGCUUAUUACGGAUGUGCAUAGGUUAUCAAGGUCUCAACAAGGUGACAAAGAAGAAUCAUUAUUUAUUACCUUUGAUAUCAGGUUUUCGAGAGCAACUUGGAUAUGCAAGGAUCUUUACAAAGAUUGAUCUAAAGGGAGCUUAUAACCUCGUGCGAAUCAAGGAAGGAGACAAAUAGAAGACAACUUUCAGUACAAGGUAUGGCCAUUUUGAAUAUAAUAUCAUGCCUUUUGAUCUUACCAAUGCUCCGGUGGUCUUUCAACACAUGAUGAAUGACAUCUUUUGGGAGUACCUUGACGAUUAUAUUGUCAUCUAUCCAGAUGAUAUUUUGAUAUUUUUCAAGAACGUAGAAGAGCAUGAAUUCUUGUAAACGUAUUUUUCUUGUAAGACUAUGGCAAAAUACAUUUGUCUCGUCCUUCAAAAACUCCGCAAGCAAGGAUUUUAUGCCAAGUUGGAGGGGUGCUUAUUUAACUAAAGUAAGAUGGAAUUUUUGGAAUUCAUUGCAACUACAAAAGGCUUCAAGAUGGAUCCUACGAAGGUAGAAGCAAUUGUAUCAUGGAAAGUUUCAAAGACGAUUAGAGAUAUAUAAUGCUUUCUUGGCUUUGUUAACUUCUAUCGGGUCUUCAUGAAGAAUUAUUCUCAAGUUGUUGCUUCGCUCACUCAGUUGACAUGUAAAGUUAAGCUUGAAUGGGAACCUCUAGCGAAAAAAGCAUUUCAAGAUCUUAAGACAACAUUUAUUAUGGCUCCAAUCUUGGUACAUCUGAACUUUGCAAAGGCCUUCUAUUUGGAGACCGAUGCUUCAGAUUUUACUAUGGGAGCUAUACUUUUGUAAAUAGGCGUAGACAAGAAGCUUCAUGUGAUUGCAUUCUACUCUCGAAAGUUUUCUGCUCCCGAGAUCAACUAUAAGAUCCAUGAUAAAGAACUUUUUACGAUAGUAGAUUCUUUCCAAGAGUGGUGUCACUUUUUCAAAAGAGCUUUGCAUUCGGUGACCGUAUAUAUGGAUCACAAGAAUUUGGAGUACUUCAUGUCGGCUUGGAUUCUGAAUCAUCAUCAAGCUCGAUGGAAUAUGUUGCUAUCCAGGUUUGACUUUGUUAUUACUUAUCGACUUAAAAAGCAACAAGGACUAUCUAAUAUAUUAUCAAGGAGAUCGUAUCUAGUGCCAAAGGUUGAAAAAAAAGUGUUUGAUCAACAGUGUACAACAUUGUUGAAGUCAAAAUAAUUCAGGCCUUGCUCUACUAUAGUGCCAAUUGAUGUUGAUUUUUUCAACCAGAUACAUAGUGCGACUAUUGGAGAUUCUGUAGCCCUUGAUAUUAUGCAAUGUAUCAAUAAUGACAAGUUUAAGGUGGAAAGAGAUCUUUUAUACUUUGAGGAGCGGUUGUAUAUUCCAAAGGGACCAACACGACUCAGAGUUCUCUAAUCUCGACACAAAUUUCUAGCUGUGGAAUAUUUUGGAUUCAAUUAGACCUUGGAACUUAUUUCUCGAGAUUUUUGGUGGUCUCAAAUGUGGAAGGAUGUUAAGGAUUUUGUCCUCUCUUGUGACAUUUGUUCAAGAUCCAAGAAUCCUCAACAUCGUCCUUAUGAUGUUCUUGAGCCAUUGCCUAUUCCACAUCGGCCAUGGUCUUCAGUUUCCAUAGACUUCAUUAUGGACCUACCGCCAUUGAAUUCAUUUGAUAGCAUCUUUGUUGUGGUAGAUCGGCUUACAAAGAUGGCAUACUUUGUCCCUUGUAAGAAAACAUCAUCAAGCAAAGACACAGCAAGGCUCUUCUUUGAUAGUGUAUAUCAAUAUCAUGGUUUACUAGAUGAUAUCGUAUCGGAUCGAAGAAUCCAAUUUGUAUCAAAGUUUUAGAGAUCUCUCUUUGAGAUAUUGAAGGUAGAUAUCAACUUUUCUUCAGCUUUCCAUCCUCAAACUGAUGGCCAAACAAAAUGGGUGAAUCAAACUUUGGAGCAAUAUUUACGAUGCAGCAUCAAUGAUCAAUAAGAUGAUUAGACUGUAUAUCUAUUGUUAGUCUAGUUUGCAUAUAACAACACCCUUCAUGCGUUGAUUCAACAAACACCAUUCUUUUCUAACUAUGGGUAUCAUCUGAAGCUUGAUUUGUUGAAUCCGUCAACCAAUAAUAACCCGGCAGUUGAAGGAUUUGUGAAAUAACUAUAAGAGCUUCCAACUACAUUCAAGCUUCAAUUACAAACUGCUCAAGAAGCUUACAAGGUGUUCAUAGACAAAUUUCGAAAUCAUGCACCUACUUUCAAAAUUAGAAAUAAAGUAUGGUUGCUUUGAUGGAAUAUCAAAAUCAUGUAGCCAUGUGAUAAGUUGGACUAUUGGAGAUUGAGACCAUUUUUCAUCUAGAAGCAAAUCAAUCCAAUGGCGUAUCGUUUGGGAUUAUUGGUUACAAUGAAGGUAUACCUAAUCUUUCAUGUUUUUUUGUUGGAGCCUUAUCGAGAGUCAUCUUUUUUAGAAGAGUGCAAUGUCCGCCACCUAGUAUUGAAAUUAAAAACCAUGAUGAAUAUGAGGUAGAAAAGGUACUAGAUUUGCGACGUAAGUAGAGAAAAUUGGAGUACCUAGUGCAUUAAAGCAGCUAUGAUAUCAAUGAACAUAAAUGUGAACCAGUGAAAAAUCUUAUCAAUGCAUCACAAAAAGUACAGGAGUUUCAUCGACGCUAUCCUUAGAAACCUAAGUCCUUUCAAUGAAAGUAUUUCAGUGAAGUUCCUUCUCCUUGAAGUCUCUUAAUCCUCGGUCUUACAAAAAAAGGAGAGAAAGAACUUCUAAAAGACAUAGUUAGAGACUAUAAAUCUGUAACUUAAGCCCAUUCUUCCAUGUUUAGUGCUUAUAUUUUUUGGUUUGAUAUAGAUAGCCAAGAAAUAGAUACUAUAUCAGUCAUGUCUUCUCAAUUGAGUAUCUCACGAAUACGAUCCCGAGAGGAAGAACUGCAUGUACCAUGAAGAUAACGGAAGAUACACAGUAAUAGGUUACUAGUGACUGUAUUUGAGGUAGAACUUGCCUAUGGUGAUCUUCCCAAAGGAGUGUUUGCAAGGCAUUUUUACAAUGAAGACACAAAAGUUCAUGCUUGGUCAGAAAUUGAAGGCAUAGGAUACUAUCGUUGGUUAUAAGGACUAAUGAACUACUUGCUGUGCGAACAACAAUUGGAGUAUUUUGCAGACACUAUGCAAUAAAUUUUCAACUUCUUACAUUGGUACUAACUCACAAUAGGAGUGCUUCUCGGAGACCUCAAAGCUAAAGGGAGGGGGGAGUGAUGGCAAAGACAUAUACUAGGAAGUUGUAGAAGAUUCUAGAAGGUCUUAGCGAAGCUUUGUAGUUUGUAGAAGCUGCUUAAGAAGCUUCCUAGUUUGUGGAAGUUACUUGAGAAGCUUCCUAGCUUGUAGUAUAUAUAGGAGCUGAGACUAAGGGGAUCCUUAGUCUUGACAACACACCUUUUGGAGCUCUAGCUCACCUCUCUAGUGUUAUUCUUGUACUCAUCUGAUUAAUCUAGUUCUUGGCAAUUCUUCUUGAGCUUCUUCUUUAGAUUUCUAGUUAGUAUUCUAAAUUCAUGACUAUAACCAUAUAUAUAGAUUAUAAGAACCUCGAGUAUUUCAUAUUGAUACAUGUUUUGAAUCAUUAUCAAGACUGUUGGAGUGUAUUUUUAUCAAGAUUUGAUUUCAAGAUCACUUAUUGAUGCAAAAAAUAAUAAGAUUUAUUAGAAAUCUUUUCUAAAUAUUUUCAUCCUGUUCCAAAGAAAAGAGAUUUAGCUUUUGAUCAAUAAAGAAUGAUUCUCUUAGGAUUAAAGUAUUUUCAUCUUUAAGCAAUAAAAUCAAUAUUAUUUCUUAAUUGAAUUUUUAUCAAAAAAGUUCAAUCAAAUAUGUCUGCUGAUUUUUUUAUUCAUGAUAUCAAGAAUAAUUAUUUUAAGCAUCUUGAUACUUUUAAGUUCUAUUUCAAAAAUAAUCUAUUCUAUUUUGAGAGACAAUUAUAUAUUAUAAAAAAUAAAGCAUGAUUAUAUGUUCUUCAAGCUCAUCAUAACUUUUUAAUAAUUAGAUAUUUUAGAUAUAAUAAGACUUUAGAGCUAAUAUCUAAAGAUAUUUGGUGGCCUCAAAUGUAGAAGAAAGUUAAAGACUUCGUAUAAUCAUGUGAUAUUUGUUCAAAAUUAAAAAACUCCUCAUCAUUGAUCUUGUAGACUUUUUCAGCCAUUACCUAUUUUGGAACAAUUAUAGUCUUUUGUUUCUAGGGAUUUUAUCAUGGAUCUUUUAGUCUUAGGUUUGUAUGAUUCUAUAUUUAUGAUAGUAGAUCAUUUUAUCAAAAUAGUAUAUUUUGUACCAUGUAUAAAAUCUAUCACAAGUGAAGAAAUGGCUAAUAUUUUUCUUCACAAUAUCUAUUACAAUUAUGGAUUGGCUAAAGAUAUUAUAUUAAAAAAAAAAACUCAAUUUAUAGAAAAAUUUUGGAGAACUCUUUUCAAUAUUCUAAAGGUAAAUAUAAAGCUCUCUUUGACUUUUCAUCUUUAAACUGAUAGGCAAACGGAAUGGAUGAAUCAAGUUUUGGAGCAAUAAUUAAGAUGUAUUAUCAACUAUCAUCAAGAUGAUUAGAAUUUUUUUUUUCUAUUGGCAGAGUUUGCAUACAAUAAUUUGAUACAUUAUUCUACUCAACAAACAAAUUUCUUUAUCAAUUAUGAUUAUUAUCUACAACUUCAUACUUUUGACUUUUAAAAAGUUGAUAAUUCUAUAGUGGAAGAUUUUGUAAAUUAUUUGUCAAAGCUUCAUACAAUAAUGAAGGUAUAGUUAAAAGAAGCUCAAGAAUAAAAAAAAAUCCAUAGAAAUAUUUAUUAUAAGGAACAACCACAAUUCAAUGUAGAUGACAAGAUACAAUUAUUUCAUUACAAUAUCUACAUUAUUUAUCCUUAUGACAAGUUGGAUUAUUGUAGGCUUGGAUCUUUUCAUGUUUGUGAAUAAAUCAAUCAUGUUGUUUAUCAAUUAUAUCUACUAAAGUUUAUAAAGAACCAUUUGUAUUCCACGUGUCUCUUUUUAAAUCAUAUAAGAUAAUAAAUAUCUUGAAAAAAAGACAAAUGUUGUCUUCUCCUAUAGAAAUAGAUAAUAAUCAAGAAUUUGAAAUGAAUGAAGUUUUAGAAUCAAGGCGGAAUCAAAAUAAAUUAGAAUAUCUUAUUCAUUGGUGCAAAUAUGAUAUUACUGAAUGCAUAUGGCCAAAAAAGAAUCUUAUAAAUGCAGCAAAGAAAGUUGGGGCUUUUUCUCAAUGACAUCUAUCAAAAUUAAGAUGAAGAAUUAUAAGAUCCAUGAAAGAUAAUGAUCGCUUCUUAUGGAACUUGUCCUAAGGAAGGGAUAUAAUAUUAUAGAUAUACAUAUUUAUUUCAAAAGUUAUUUAUAUAAUUAGAUAGAAAUAAGUACAUAUAGACUAAUUUUAUUAUAUCUUUUAAAAAAGCUUUCUAGAAGCACCAUAGAGGUAAUUUUGACUUUAGAUAUGUUUAUAGUUGAUUGAUAGAUUGAAAACUUGAUCAACAAAUUAAUCACAUAUCAUACAUUGUUGUAUUUUAAUUAUUUGUAAUAUGUAAAAAUUAACUAAAAUAUAUAAUAUAUUUAUAAGUGUUGAUGUGUAUUAAAAUGGUUAGUAGGUUAAUUUAAAGAGAAUUGAUGUAGAAAAAUUUAUUUUGAGGUUUACCUAUUUUGAUUAUAAUAUUUAAGUUAUAUAGAAUUUAGAUAUUUAGUAUAAAAUUUCAGAAGAUUGGAACUCAAAGAUGAAGAUUCAAACCUCUAAGAAACUUAUUUGAAAGAAAAAAAAAGUAAGGUAUGGAUAAAUGAAGGCAAAAAGUAAAGAUCUUCACUCCUAUUGGUCAUAAGCCAUGUCCAAUAGACUCUUAGGAGGUUGUCUACGGCCAUAACAAAGGUUUUGGCGACUUAAAAAGAGGCAUUUGAAAAUCAAAAGCAAGAAUUAUAAGGUUUAAGAUUUGAACUAUAAUUUAUGUAUAAAUUUUAGAAGAUUUAGAAUUAUGGUGAUGAAGUUAUAGCCAUUUGAAGUUAAGAUGUCUUUUUAAGACAUAUUAUUGCUCUUCUGGGAUACAAGGAGUUUUAUGAUAGAAUUUGGAUAUUGAAAGAUGUCGCCACAAAGAUAAUUUUAAGAUCUAUGUCUUUUGUGAAAGUACUUCUAUCUUUGGAGUUUGUAUGAAGAAGUUAUAGAGUGUUGAAAACAACACAUGUGAUUCAAAAGUAGUAAGUGAAUCAUUUUGUUGAUAGUAAUGGUUGGAGCCAUAUCUUAAGUUUUUGGACGAAUUUUUAGCUCAAAAUUUUUUAAAAUGUAUGUUAUUAGGUUAAAAAACUAUAUAUCAAAAUUUUAUGGUACUUAAGUAAGUUCGUGAGAUAUAAAGAAGAUUGUACACAAGUAUAUGUAAGUAAGGGUUUGAAGCUAUUACUAAGGUUUUGGUAAUAUCUCAAGAUGUGUAAUAAAUUUGUAAUUAGAAUUUAUUGUGGUAGUUUUUAAAAGCACAUCAAUACUUUAUGUAAAAUUUUGGUUUGUUUGGACACUCCAAUCGUGAGAUAUGACUUCUUGAAGUUUGAAAAAAAUUCAUUUUAUAGAUAUACAAGGUUUUAUAAUUUUUUUAUCACAAUUUUGGUGAUCUUUGGUACUUAAAGCUUAUAUAUUGAUGUAAUUGCUCCUAUAGGAAUAAUUUUAUAUAUAAACUUAGUGUUUUUUUUUAUCUUGAGAUAUAGUUGAGUAAUUAGUGAUAGCUUGAAGUCUUAUGCUUUUUUAAGGCAAACUCUCUCUAUUUCAACAACAUGUUGGUAGCUUGUGGAACAAGCUAAUUAUGUGGCACACACAUAGAUGACUUUCUUGUAAGUUAAGACAUAUGUCUAAUAAAAUCAAUAAACAGAAGAGGUCCUAUAGAAGAUCGCCACAUAGCUCUUAGUUAAAGAGUUUAUAUCGAGGCAAGUGUGAAGCCUUCUUCAUUCUUGCCAAUAUUCAUUUAGUCUUUAGUCUUAUUUCAAGACUUUCUAAUCUUCUUUUCUUUGGUAAUAGCUAUUUUAGUUUAAUACUAUAUCAUCUUUGAGUGAUUUUUUAGUCAUUUCUAAGUGAUACAAGAGUAUAUUGAUUUUUUAAUUCUUUGAGAUUCAUAUCCUUGACAAAAUGACAUUUCAAAUCUUAUAGAUUUGGUAUUAUCACUAUUUAGUUUCAAGAGUAAAAAAGUUAAAAUUUUAUAAUUAUCUAGAUUUAUUUAUAUAGAGUAGCUUUAAAUAUUGUGAUCCUAAAUAUAUAUAUAUAUAUAAAAGUAAUGACAUGUAUGCAUGCAUAAAUUUUAAAAUUUAAAUGUCUAAUAUAUACUUAUAUAUAUAUAUAUAUAUAUAUAUAUAUAUAUAUAUAUAUAUAUUAAAAUCAUAUUAUAAUCUAAGACAAUUACAAUAGCAUAUUUAAAAGACAAUUAAUCUACAAAAAAUGAUUGACAAAGGCUUGUGGUAUAAGUAUCUAAAGCUAUUAGAAAAAACUUUUUCAUAUAUUUGAUGUAGACUUUAGUCCUAAAUUUUACUUUAAAAGACUUGCAAAUGUAGUAAAAGUUUUCUAAAUUAAAUAAAAAUAUGAAUCUUUAUUUAAAUAAAAAGAAUAAUUUAUAUAGAUUUUUGUGAUUGCAUGCUAUAACUCCUAUUUUCUAUUUUUGGAUUAAAAUUUUAUGAAUCUUAAAUUAGUAUUUAUUUGUCUUUUAUUUAUUUUCUUUUGGUAUUAAAAAAGAAUUGCUAAAAUUUAAAUUAAAUAGUAGGUAUACUAUAUCCAAUCUAAUUGAGUGGUUUCAAAAUAAUUGUUAUAAUUAAAAAUUAAAAAUUCUACUUAUAAUAAUUAUGGAUCAAGAAUAUCAAUUCAAUUUUAAUAUAUUUAUAUAUGUAUGUAUAAAAUUUAAUGAAACAAAAUAGCCAAAUCUAUCAUAAUAAGCACUAAAAAAAGAACAACAAUAGGAGGCUUCAAGCAUAAAAGAAUAAUUGGGAGAACAGAAAUUUAGAAAAUAAAAAAGCCAAUGACAAUGAGUCACUAUGUAUUUCCCUAGAAAAUUCAACUACCUAAUAGGAGAUGAAGAAUACCAGUUGACAUUGUGAUUGGGUUGGAAGCACAUGCACUUCACCUCCUUCAUCUCCAUUUAGUAUAAAAAGAAAUGGCCAUUGAGGAAAGUUGGGAGAAGCUCUUCAAUGCUUGGUUGGAUGAAGAGUGUCAAAAUGCAAACAAUUCACUGUACUUUGAUCGGCCAGUAACACUGUUCUCAAAACAUAAUCCUCCAACUUUAACACAUGCUUGACACCCUCAAAUAUAAGGAAAAGAAAACUCACAAUAAAGUACAACCACUUUUAGAAUUCUAAAUCAUGAUGAUAAUGAUGUGAGAGAAGUAAAUAUAGAAAAACCAGGAUAAUCAUCUGACUUUCAGAGAAGGACUGUAGCAUGGUGGGCACAACCGAAUGUUCAUCAAACUAUCAUCCGAAGUGUUUAGUGGCCAACAAGACCCUGCAAGUUCCCUCUACACCUGACAACGAGACAUUGAUUCCGUUCCAUAUUCUCCACGUUUCUAGGAAUCGAAAAAACAGUAACAAAACAAUUGGAAAAUAAGUCAGCAAAAAAUAAAAACACUAGGGGAACUCGGAAACUUCUGGUUGAUUCUAACGACACUCCCCCCCACAGCACCACAAAAACAUCUAAAUUAAACCAAUACAAUGUGUGACCAUUAUCCACUUCGGCAGGUGGGCUUGUGAGCCUGUCUAGCUAUAAUUUUUCUGGAGGAGCCUUUGCCGGCAUUUUCAGGCCCACCACCGAAGUAUCCGUUUGUUGCUGUCGAAGUAUGUGAUCGCAACCGCCGAUCGGUGAAAAGUAGGAACUGGAAUCACUAGAAAUAGCCCAUUCGGUGUGCUAGUUCGUGCUUUGGUUCAUGUGGGGUUGCGGAUACAUGGCGCAAGUCGAAUAUCUUACCGCUGCAAGAUCGGAGGAAGGAAUACAAUCUUCUUUUUAUUUGUUUAUUAUUAUUAUUAUCAAUGGUAGCAGUUGUGCCGAUGCUGGGGUUUGUCAUGGUGAUGCAUGUGGUGGACAUGCGUUGGGUAGGUUGCGGUGGGUUCCACGUGCGGAGUCGGCAACACGGAAUAACCACAGACUUGGGGAAAGCCAAGCAGUUGCCACCCGAGGUUGCGGAUGAUUUUCUGUCCAGGAAUCCAUCAGUUUCAAACUGCCUUCGUUACAGCGCAGAGUACCGUCAAUCAUUCUCUCGUCUCAGUUGGACCAGAAUCUGCUUCUGAUGGAAUUGAGCUCAUGAAGUUUGAAUAGAUCGAUUAUAAUGCUUGGGGUUCGCCACUAUGUGAAUGUCAUUCGUGAAUUUCAUAUUUGGUGAACAUGGAGAGUAUGUGGAGAUAUUUGAACGGAGUUUGAAAAUUCAUUGCCUUGUUUGGUCUGUGAGGAACCUGUGCAGAAAUUUUACAUGUAGCCUGUGAAGAAUAAUCGCUGUUGGAACAUGCAGCCGAAGGUUGAAUGAAUCACUUGGACCCUCAGGGCGAUUACAGUGCAUUAAGAUGUGAUUAAUAGACAACUGAGGGAACCAUAGCAAGAUGAAGCUCGUGCGAAUCAAUGGUGGGGCUUCGGAACCGUGGUCGGCAUGGCCGCACCCCACUGCUGGUGCCAUUUCACCCGUGGUGGAGGUGGACGGUGGCAUGUCAUGGCCGACAAAGCCAACUGCAUGGAACCAGACGCAUGAACUUGUAGCCUGAAACAUGGCUAAAGAGUCGGUGUUUUGUAAGACAACAUGGGCUGGCUUUUGCGGAUCUGAUCCUGGCUAAUUAUAGAGAAUUUUCGGUGCAUGCCCAUAUAGAAAUAUAUGCAUUUUCAUUGUGAAUUAGAAAUUACAAUUGAGUCUCAUCCAACCUGCACAUCGAUUCUAUAUAUCAAAUGUUUCUGAUAAUAAUGGGUACUCUAAGGAUGGAAAUUAACCAAGUGGAAGUAAUGUGAACUCACAAGCAGCACACCGCCAAUUCUGCUACUACUAUGGUUCAUGCUUUAUUAUGUUUUGGCACUACUUCAACUACACUAAUCACAGAGUCAAGUGGCCAUAUAUUUCUCGCGACAAAUUUGGACCUGUCACUACUUCAAAUUCAAAAGCUUAUCGGGGCGGCUCUAAGCGUGGUCGGUUCAACUGUUGCGUGAGAUCCAGGGUCAAAAUUUCUGACCUCACGUAUGGGUCAGGAUGCGGCUGUGGUGGCUGCAGAGACAUAGUUAAUUCCAGCGGAGCAUUCGAUAACGUCAAAUCAUUUCGGCUGUCACGACUCUGCACGCGCGGCUGCUCAUUCCACGCUGCACUAAUUUCAACCUGGCUUCGCUGGCGUGUGGCCAACAUCAGCUCGCUUGCCAGUUGCUCAUUAUCACCGUCAAUCCGCAUCUGCAAAACAUGGAUACUGGUCAAAAGUUGUAGAUCCUCUAAAUGCAGGGUCCGUAACAAAACUCUAACCUGGUUUAUGAACAUUGAUAUGCUAGAUCAGCAAUUUAAAGAAAACUAUCACGACUGAAUCUCCUAGACGUACCUCAAGUAGGUCAUAAGUAUUUGGGUGUGCUGAUAUUGUGGACGCUGAUGCAGGUCUGGCGUCAGCAGGUUUGAUUGAAACAUCAUUUCUCUGAGAUGGUGAUAAUGAAGCAAAAUUACCUCCACAUUGGCCUGUAUGAUUGAGCUGUACAGGCGUCGAUACGCCCAAAGUGAAACUUUCUGCAUAGUAGUCCUUGGCAUACGAGGUCUCAACAGUUGCAGCUUCCCUCUCCCACGAUUUCCAUGGACCUUCCACUUCACAGUUGGAAUCUCUACUCGUGGUUUGCAUUUGCAGAUUUGAUCUAAAUAAAUCUGCAAAAGUACAACAUCUGUUCACAAAGAAGCUCCAAACUCCUGAUUCGCCACUGAAGGAUCUUGAGGAUCCAGAGACUAGCGCAUUGAAGCAUUCUGUCGUAAGAGAAAAAGCUUGUGGAAAACAAGAAACCUAGUGCUCAAUCGCCUCAAGUAUCAGAUUAGAAAGGGGAAAUUAUCGCUGUGGAACAGUUCUGGGAAGCAUGUCUUGAUGUAGACAAGAAAGAUGAGGAUCAGUAAUCCAAUCACUCAUAAUCAUUGAAUCAGUGCAUCAAUCUGUAUGAGAGAUACUAUUAGUUCUCCAGACACCACCUUUGGCUCAAUUCCACAAUUCACUUAGUUCAGUGCAAACAAAUGAUCUGCAAUACGUACCAAAUCGGGGGCUGGAAUCUUUUGCGCUUCUGGGAUUCCUGUACAUCUGCGCGCCAAUCAGCUAGUAACGUCGGUGAGUCUCGACACGGCACAUUCAUAGAAAGAAGUGAAUGUCAUUCAGUGCACAAAUUGUUAUGUUACACGAGAAGAAACCUGAAGAUGACUCUUGAUAUGUGCGAUCUUAAGGCCGCUGACAUUCAUCGUGUGCAGUAUGGCCUUCGGUGUGGCUUCUGCACAAGUUCAUCCCCAAUGGAAACGUCAGGGACUUCAUACAUGAUGUACGUGCUUACAUUCCUAACUUCUCUAAUUGUAUAUCCUGUUCUUACGGCCUCAUUAUGCCAGAGAUUCCAUAAAAUUUGGUUCGUUGUUCGGAAGAUCUCAACUACUACAUCUAGUCAUCAUUGUAACGCCAGAUAAGCUAUCAAGUCCUAUUCGUGUACCAGAAGAACUUUUAAGUAGAUUGAUUUUCUCACUUUGAGGGCCACCAAGCUCUUCAAUGGCGCGUAUGAAGCAACGACGGAGAUCAUCGGUCCAAUUCAAGCGAGGCACAUUAGAGCGGACAUAUCGGCGUGUUUUGCCGUCGCUACUAGUAUUCGAACACUGCAAAGCUGAUGGAGCACUCAUGCAUGUGGCAGUGCUCUUGACGGGGCUUUCAACCACCCUUGAGCAUUCUGGCAUGCUAUUGUCGACAGAAGUGCACCUUCUUACCGGAGACCCAGUACUCGCGGACCAACAUCCUCGUUCAUCUGUCGCGUCUUCCCCCUGCAUUUCAUAAAAGAACCCUCUCGGACUAGCGCCAGGGUUUGCGAGGGCAGUCGACCGCUGUUCGUGCUUCGAUGGUCUGCUGCUGUCACAAUUUCUGGCGCUACCUUCAUACUCUCGAGUUACUAAUUCCAGACGCCCUAUUUUUCCUUAAGAGAUGCACCCCUGUCAAACCUAGGCAUACUCAAGUGUUUUCUUGUGCGGUAGUUUAAGUCUGUAGUAACAUGUGCCUGUCCACUACUCAAACUCACCCCAAUAGAUCCAUGAUUGGAGCCCAAUCCACAAAGCUUGGAGUGUUAGUGUAAAAUAUCCUCGAUUAUAAUCGGAAACCACCUCAUCAACCGAAAGUAUACCCUCAACUUGAAACCACACCCAGCUUCAAUACUCCACAGCCUGCAAAGAAACUUCAGGCAAGGUCCAAAGUUUGGGUUAAGUACCUUCCGAGAUGGCUUCAAUCACUGGGUACCUUGUGUGACACGAUAUGGAACAUUUUUAAUGCCUUGAGUAAAAAUAUGAGUGAAUGCGGUCAGCAGUUUUGUCGGUGCGCAAGUCAUCAACUCGCUUUCACACCAGUUUGAAGGACUUCGAUAAGCUUGCCUUGUUGUUACAUCUCUAAAUAGGGCGGGCGAGAAUUUUUCAACCACGGCGAUGGACUGGGUCGGUUGUGGCUAUUGACCGGCAGCACUGACUUUGGUUGGGCUAGGCCUAGAAGCGUCGUACUUUGCGGAGCUCGGUCCUUGAAGCUCAAGCUACUUGGAGUACGCUCGCAGGACUCCCCCUUUCAUGACUCCUCCGGAAGUACCCUUGUUCGUAGAUCUUCAGGAUAGUAUCAUUCUUUCAAUGCGAAGAAUCCUUCGAGACAUCGCACGGAUUCCGCUUUGAAACGUCCAAACAAAGGUUAAGUAUGCAAGGAAGAGAAGACAUGCGAAAAGGCUCUGACAUUUAGGUUGGCCCCAAAAAAUUGAUGCUGUGGGUACAUUACUUUUGGGACUAACCUAACUUACAGGGCAGAAAAAGUUCCGUGGAAGUGCUGCAGCGGAAUUCAAGUGUGGCCUUAACUUUUGCUACCGCGACAGCGAUUUAAUGGUAAGCUUCUGCAGACAUGAUGAUGGAAGAAAGCACCAUUUGGUGCUGUACUGGUUUUGUGUACUUGAUCUUGUGCCCAUUCCUCGACGUUGUACUGCACUGGUUACCACAAUAAUGCCCACACAAGACAUGAAUUUUGUUCAGACAAGUUCACCAGCUACUUGCGAAAAUGGCUAAAAGAUGAUCUUAUGAGCGGAGAUUAAGUCUACUGAUGGUCUGAAGUGCGUACACCAUGUUCAUUUACGACACUUGUGUGAACUCCAGUAACAAGAACGCACAUCAAAGUGUCAAUGACAUCAGGAACGGCAUGUGAGGAAUACUGAAUGACCAUGGAGAAAGGUGAACUAACCGGGAGACUGACUAAAGAGAAAAGAAAGAGAAAAAAUGAGUUCACAAGAGUGAUAGUUCACUCCCAGAAACCGCGCAUGACUCGCCGUCGGUCCUGUAAAUACGUCUCCACAGACCUAAAAUCGUAUCAGAGUCUAAAGCUUUACGUUGCUAAAGCUUGUGGUACUCGGCACUUAACAAUGUCCAUCACAAAUCAACAGCAACAUAGAGUAAAUUUCCAACCAUGGAUUUUACUUACUGACGUUUCCAAAAUUUUCCCUUCGACGAAUCCCUGAAACUCGACAAGCUACCCGCUGGUUGUAACUUUUUCCUUAAAUUAUGCACCAAUGUUUUCAAAAUUUACCAUCAAAUUCUAAACAGCAUGAAGUACCUGCGUGUUUUUCUUUUUUCUGAAACCGGUUUACUGAUGAGUUAAACCUUUGCAUAGAAUUAAUACCAGCUUCAGUCAUAGACAAUUUGUAGACACGAUUACAAUCCCAAGACUAUGGGCACGAAAGAUCUGUAGAUGCUGAAAAAUUCUCGUCAAUUUAUCAAUUGCACAACAUACAUACUGCAGCAUCAGCUGAUGUGCAGGUACUAUGAUGAAAGGAGCUCCUUGUCUCCCUCAAUCACCGGCUUAGAAGAUGGACUAGUUCCAGAUAUCAACCCUCAUCAACUCGCUCCUCUAUACGCAGAAAAAUGACUGAAUUUUCUACCCACUCCGCCGCAUGCCUUCCAAUCGAUACGCUUAUCGCUGUUCGGACUACUUUCACUGAAUCCGAAUCCUUCUAAUGAUCGAUCAGGAUAAUACUACUCUUACACGGUCUCAACCGCCAGGUGCCAAAGUUGAUCCUCAUUGCCAAACCCUUGAGCUUCAGCGUCACGCGUCGACUUCUACCAGAUAAGCCAGCAACCAUAACAGACACCGUGCGUGUAGACAAAAGCUUGCCAGCACCAGGGCAACCUGGAGCUGCUUCUCCACCACGCUUCCUGCAACCUGAUCGUCGAAGAUGACAACACUUGCUCUGCAGUGCCCUCUGUGAUGCAGGUUUAUCGAACAAGCUCGUCCCACACGAGCCACUUGCACUCAGAUUAUCAUCUGCUCCCUCCCUAUCUCUACCGCUUUCAGUGCAAGUGCUUAGGACAAAGGGUCUAGAUUCCAACUCAUGAAACUGAUGCUGACCUCGCCGGAAUUUUCUCAUCUUUUUCUCACGAAAAUUGUAAUUCACGAAAAGUUCUGGUAAAGUCAAAUCAAUCCUGAAAAUCGGGGCUCGGAAAAAGUGAGCGACAAUUUUAGCCCUUUCAGAGACAAAAAUCGUCUUAAAUUACAUUGACAAUCUUUACCGCAUCUCAUGUCCCAAUGUUGCUACUUUCAUCGGUGGUCAUGAAUCAGGUCCACGUGAAACGCAGAUGAUAUGAGAACCAUUCAGGACGAAUACUGCAGGGUUGAAUGUUCG
rnacentral:lncRNA from 1 species